UUUUUUCAAGCUGAAAAUGGCUAGCCCAGCUAUACCUUUUUUAGAAAUACCUAGGCAAGGUCAAGUUGUUAUUCUCUGCCCCGCUGGGCUGCAAAUCUUUCCUAGGAGGGAUGCAUUAGGCUUAACAAGAAAAUAGACUUUAAGAAAUGGUAAAUGGGAUGUAAUUAUAAAAACUGGGUAGUAACUAUAAAAAAAUGCACCAAACACGUAAUUACUUAAUAAAAUAUUAUUUUUGGAUAUUGAAAAUUUUAGUUUCAUUAAUUGUUGCGAGCGCAAUGUUUCAUUGGAUUUUUACGUAAUAUAAAUUCAUUGAAAUUGUAUUUAAUCUGACUAGAAAUUUCGGGAUAAAAAUAUUUCGGAUCCCAUCAAAAUGUGGGAAAUUUUAUUGAAUUCUGUUUUGAACGGUUGGUUGAAAUGAGUUGUACUUUUAACAAACAGUAAAUGGGCUGUAGUAAAUUCCAUUAGAAUUCAAAAAUGGGCUGGACAUUCUUACAAAUCUCAAAUGGGCUAUAAGUUCGCUGCCACACACUUGUGGCCUUACUAAGUUGACGCGUCCCCUAAAAAAAGAGAGUUGACGCGUAUGCAAGGCUUUGUCAACUUAUAGUCAACACACGGUUCUAGCAGCAGUGGCUGUUGGAUGUCCAUCCAACGGAUGUUGUGCUUCUUCUUCAAUCUCGGAUAUUCUAGCUUCACCCGCCCAAAAAAUGAUUCCUCCCCCUGACAUCUGGGGCGCACCGUUUCAGAAGCUGACCUGUGGGCCUACUAAGUUGACGCGUACCAAGGGCUUUGUCAACUUAGUCAAUAUAAACGAUUCUAACUGCAGUGACCGUACGAUGUCCAUCCAACGGCUGUCGUGCUUCUACAACCUCUGGUCUUCUUGCUCCAGCCGCCCAAAGCAACACUGGUCGUGCCGCCUGCUCCUGCCUCCCGUGGCCGGCUAUGCUGCCGCAGAGGCCUCACCGCCACCUACUAGUCCCACCGCUGGCUAGGCCAUCCCUCCACUCACCCACACCCCCUGUUAUUCUGCGGCGACGGCAGCCUCACAUCGCAGCCGAACCAGUGAACCCUCGUACUCCUCUCCGCGUGGGCAUCCACUGCCGCGUCUUCCCCGGCUCCGCGUCGUCCCCUUCCUAGGCCUCUCCGUCGUCCACCGUCGUGGUGCUCUCGGCGCGGCGUGGUCAACGUGGUUAAGGAACGACUUCCAUCGGAUGUGGGACUGUACGUGGAGAGGCUGACAGCUGGGUCCACGGCCGCAGCAAGGAAGUGCCUCCUUAUUACGCAGAAAAUAAUGAUUCCUCCACCUGACAGCUGGGACCCACCGGACGGGCCACUGUAUUUUAUGAAAAAAAUGUUUCCCCCUGACUGUUGGGACCCACACGCUACAUCUUCGCACGUAAGGAAAUGCGUCCGAAAAAAACCGAUUCGCCCCCCUGACUGCUGGGACCCACCAGCUACAUCUUCGCACGCAAGGAAGUGCUUCCGAGCAAAAAAAACGAUUCGCCCCCCUAACUGCUGGGACCCACCAUCUACAUCCUCACACGCAAGGAAGUGCCUGAUAGUCGGGACCCACCUGGUUGAAGCAUACGUAGCGUUGUCAUUCUGGUUGCGAACGUGUACGUACAUACUGGUGGAUGUAGAGGCGCGCACGUGUCGUAGUAGAGGCGCGCACGUAGCAUGUACACGUACGUACAGCAGCCAGUGUGCAAGAAAGAAAAUACAGCCACGUACGUACAUACGGGUGGGGUCUCGAACGCCUACUCGCGCAUACAUACGACCAGGGCUCGUGUACAUGGCUGGAUCAGAACGAAGAAACAGCAUUGUCGUCGUGUUCAUGGGGAGCCAACUGGCUGGGUCGAAACAGAAUGCGUCGUCGUUUUCAUCGGGAGGGCUUGGACGGAACAGGUGAUGGAAACGAGGUCUGGCGUACCGCAGAACGGAGGAAACGGCCUUGUGUUUGACCGGCAUCGUUUGAAACGGGAUCCUAUUCAUCGGGAGGGGUCUGGCGUGCCGCAAAAUGGAGGAAACGGAUUUGUGUUGGACCUCCUACAGUCGAAACGGGGUCCUGUUGAUCGGGAGGGGUGUGGCGUACCGCAAAACGGACGAAACAAACUUGUGUUGGAGCGCUACGGUUGAAAUGGGGGUCCUGUUCAUCAGGAGGGGUGUGGCAUACCGCAAAACGGGACUCCACGGGAUACUGUUCAUCUCCACCGUCGACCUCCUCCGGCCUCCACGGGCUACUGUUCAUCCACCGUCGACUUCCUCCAGCCUCCACCUGCGACUGUUCAUCCACGCGCUCCUGUUUGUCCAGCCUCCACCGCGCGCUACUCCAUCGGGUACUGUUCAACCACCCCUCUCCACAGGCUCCUGUUCAACCACCCCUCCACGGGAUACUGUUCAUCCACCCCUCCACCAUCUACGUUCAUCCAGCCCUCCACUGGGUCGUCCUGUUCAUCCAGCCCUCCACAGGGUCCUGUUCAUCCAGCCCCAACCGGCUCGAUCGAUCGGGGUCCUGUUCGUCCAGAGGCAACGCCACGGGGUCCUGUUCAUCCACCCCCACUGCUCAUNNNNNNNNNNNNNNNNNNNNNNNNNNNNNNNNNNNNNNNNNNNNNNNNNNNNNNNNNNNNNNNNNNNNNNNNNNNNNNNNNNNNNNNNNNNNNNNNNNNNNNNNNNNNNNNNNNNNNNNNNNNNNNNNNCAUCCAUAGGCAGCAUCGAUCGGCUUCAGUUAGCAGCAGUAGCGAAGGAAUCGCUCGAUCGGGUUCAGUUAACAGCCAUCGAUCGAUCGCUCGGGUUCAGUAACGCGUAGCCUGCAGUGCAAUCGCUCAGGUUCAGUUAGAGCCCAACGCCUCGCUCGGGUUCAGUUAGAGCCAACGCCUCGCACACAUGCGCGUACGUGUACGAGAGAAACGCGCAUCGCUCGGCCCCCGACCACCCACCGUAACCGGGAACUUGCCGAAAUUUUCCUCGCCCUCGCUUCUACCACGGUUUUUUCCGUCAUGGACGGCCCAAAGAAUGUCAUGCAGCUGCAUCUCCGGCCCGCCCAGGACGAAAAGCCCAUUUUCUGUCAUGAUUUUUUGUUAUAGAAGUAGGAGCCCACCACAUCUAUGAUGAUACCGGGUUUUGUCACAAUUAUCGUCAUAGAAGUGUCAUAAGUAUGACAGCAAAAAAAAUCGUUCGGUCCAAAAGGUCACGGAUGUGUCUUUUUUUGUAGUGAACCCCCCGGGGGAGUUAAUGGGCCUUAAUGGCCCAUGGUGGAAGAGAUGAGGAGGCGGCCAAGGUNNNNNNNNNNNNNNNNNNNNNNNNNNNNNNNNNNNNNNNNNNNNNNNNNNNNNNNNNNNNNNNNNNNNNNNNNNNNNNNNNNNNNNNNNNNNNNNNNNNNNNNNNNNNNNNNNNNNGAAGGGGGUCGGCCCCCCUUUCCUUCUCUCCCUCUCCCUCUUCCUUCUUCUCCUACUCCAACUAGGGAAGGGGGGAAACCUACUCCUACUUGGAGUAGGACUCCCCCCUUGGGCGCGCCAUAGAGAGGGCCGGCCCUCCCCUCCUCCACUCCUUUAUAUACGGGGGAGGGGGGCACCCGAUAGACACACAAGUUGAUUGUUUAGCCGUGUGUGGUGCCCCCUCCAUAGAUUUCCACCUCGGUCAUAUCGUUGUAGUGCUUAGGCGAAGCCCUGCGUCGAUAACUUUAUCAUCACCGUCAUCACGCCGUCGUGCUGACAAAACUCUCCCUCGACCUCAGCUGGAUCUAGAGUUUGUGGGACGUCACCGAGCUGAACGUGUGCAGAUCGCGGAGGUGCCGUACCUUCAGUGCUAGGAUCGGUCGGAUCGUGAAGACGUAUGACUACAUCAACCGCGUUGUCAUGACGCUUCCGCUUUCGGUCUACGAGGGUACAUAGACAACACUCUCCCCUCUCAUUGCUAUGCAUCACCUUGAUAGAUCUUGUGUGAUCGUAGGAUUUUUUUUUUAAAUUACUGCAUUCCCCAACAGUAUUUUCUCCCCCGAGCUGAGUUGUGCCGCCAUGAAGGACAUGCCUUCCAGUUCCACACGCUUGGACGGCGAGUGCCAUGCAAUAGCAGGUGGUGUAGUGGAGGCAUGGGUGAUCUGCACACGCACACACAUCUGCUAGGUCAAGCGCCAGAGAAAUCACCAGAGACGCUUAAAUUUGCAGUUCACCAAAAGAUUUCUAACUAAUAUCCUGCCCCCAAAUACAAAGGAUUUUUUUCAAAAUAAGAGUUAUAUUAGCACGAGCACCAAGAGGAAUGAUAUUGUAUCACCUUCAGGGCAUGCCUCAUGGAAAGCAAUUUCUACAUCAGACAGGAACAGACGCAUUGGACGACAUCACUUUGAUAUGGAAUAAUGAAGAACAAACAUGAGGCAGUUAAACAAUUAAACAUGAACUUGUGCCAAUUUGGCAAACAAGACUUGAAGUGUACAUGAUAAAAUGAAAACUCGGUAAAGAUUUAUCUCUGAGCAGCAAUACAUAUACUUUACACCAUUAAUGUUCACAACCAUGAGAUCAGUAAAAAAAUCAAAGUCCAUGAAUGCAAAAUCGGUCCAUUUUGGUGUAUCAUCUAAGCAAUUCGUGGUGAUAGACGUCUCACAAUUUCCCAAACCACAAUAUAAUCUUGAACACCCAUGGUCCACAACAUAGUUUUCUAAAAGAGGGUAUGAUCCAUCCGUCAUUCUUCAAAUGUGAGUAGUUGCUUAAGAAUUUGAAGAAAAUAGAAAGAUUGUGCUGGAUCACCAAACUAUAAACAAAUGAGCAGGAGAUUUUAAUAGAUGAGAAUAUAAGACAAACUGAUAGCAAAGAAGAUGAUCCCUAUACUCUAGAUCACAUUCACAUCACAGACCAACCACUAAAAUCAACCCAUAAUAGAAAUAAUCAUGGGCAAAUUCAGUUGUGAUUUUUACUAGUGCAGGCUGAGUCUCUCAGUAUUGCAAAUCCUUGUAGUGCCACUGGCUUCACUCGAAUGGGUCAGCCUGCCUUGCGCUUAGAAAAAUUACACAAAAUCAUGAGGUUAUCAGGAUGUCAGAUCAGAAAGUAUUAGUCAAUAAGAGAUACACAUUCGAAUUGCUCAAAAGUAAGAACGAAACUCUUAAUUGCUUGAGGCAAACUGAAAAGGGUACCUCGUGACUUUCAAUGGAUUGAUUAGCCUACAGAGUACAGACUGACCUUGGGACUCUCCUGACAAGGAGCUUGCAAGAAGACACAGUUGAAAGUUGAAACUGGUCCACCCCAUAACAAUAAUGUUUUUGCAGUUUGCAGCUGCUGCCAUGACAUUCAUCCUACUCUGUGAAAGAGAAAAUUGGCAACGAUGUUUGGCUUUGCCAUCGCUGCAUUCAUGCUUAUCUUUCAUAGAAAGAAGAGAGCAAAACAAUUCCAAAUCUCUGAAUAUCUGCUAUUGUGGUGUUGUGCAUGAAAUUAUUAGCCAUCUAAUUGUGUGACCAGGGAGAUAUAUAAUCAAUACGUGGUGAGUUCAGCUUCUUGCAACGCAAUAGAUACAUGUUCAGUAUGAUCAGAUCAUACAGAAGAUGAAGGUGCUACCAGCGCACCACAACAACCAAGAGGAGUAGGAGCUGCGGGAGGUAUUGGUCCUGGAACCGCCGUUACCGAGUUGUGUGUCCAUCCCUACGACCCAGUCGUAUACCAGGCCGGGCGGCGGCGGCUAUGCGCCUCCAUGUCGUCACGUCCACCUCAAAGUGUUUGACAGAAGACAGAGCAAGGGUUGCGUCGCGGCGGGGCACGUGUAGGAGACCGCUUGCGGGGCAUCAGCGUCGUCGGGCGGCCAUCUGGAGGUUGAAGAUGCAAUUGACCGCCUCACGCAGCGUGGCCGCCACCUUGUCGGCGUCGACCCGGGCCACCGCCUCCGCGGGUAGGUUCAGCUUGUGCAGCAUGACGAGCGCGGGAUCAUCCAUCACCACCGCCUGGUCAUCUCCGCUGCCGCAUAGCGGGCACGCGUCACCGCCGGGGUAGCUCGCCAUGGAGAAAGAAGGGCCGGCCACAGGUAAGGCACGGGGAGGAAUCGAGCCGCGGCGACGCAACCUCUCCGUGACCUAUGCCCGAGCGCUCUUCGUCCACGUCCCAACUUGUGAAGCCACUUGGAAGGAGCAACUGCCAUGCCGGCGUGAUGUACGGGUGUGCAAAGGAAGGAGUGCUUGCGGGAUCAACUCCAGUCAAUAAAUGUCUUGAGAAUUAAGAUAUGGGCGAUUAGUUGGGAAUCUUUCGUGGUAAUUGCUGAGCAAUGCACGCAUCCCUUUAAUUUGGGGCGCGGAUGGGGGAAUCGGUACUAAAGAACGGAAACAGAUGGGUAAUUUGAUUGGGAAAAAAUCAGUGGGGCGGGUUGCGAUCGUGCGAGGGGUGGGGACUUCCUUAGUUUGAUCGAUGGGUAAAACAAAGCAAACGAACAAGAGAUAAAAACCAAUGGUAGAGUAGAGAUUACAACAGAAGAUUACUCCCUGUUGUUUUUGGUGAAUCCAUUAACAGAAGAUUACUUCCUUAGUUUGAUCGUUUAGCUUUUUUUUCUGGCUAAAACGAGAGGCGAGGUGCGUUCGCGGUGAUUCGAUCCCGAGAUCUCCCAGUACUAGAUAAGGGUAUCUCCAGCCGCGCCCCACGAAGGCCUCCCAGGCGUUUUUUUCGCGCCGGCGCCAAAAAACGGCCCAGUCGCGCCCCCAGGAGCCCGAUUUUCGCCGGCUUGGGCCAAAAACAGCGCCGGCGGACCCAGCCCGAACCCGGCGCGCUGGGGGCGCCCGGGGGCGCCGGGGCGAGCUGUUUUGGCGCGAAAAAGACGCGGGCCAGCCGCGUCAGCGACUCGGCACCUCGUCUUCCCCCAACGGCCUCGGUUCCCGCGGGGAAUCAAUGGCAAGGCUGCCGCCGGUCAGCCUUGCCAUUGAUUCCUCACGGGUGGCGCUUCACGGGACGGCGCGCCGACGCCUCCCCUCCCUCGCACGCGUACACACGGGCGCGGCCCCACUAUAAAAGUCGGCGGCCUCCACUCGCCUGUGCCCACACCAGCCCUGCCCCUCGCCGCCGUCCAGCCCCUCCCUCUCCCUGCCUCUCCCAAGCGCCGCCGCCCAGCCCCUCCCUCUACCUCUCCCGAGCCCGCCCAGCCCCGCCGUCGUCAUGGCAAAACGCUUCCCCGGAGACGAGGCGGCGGCCAACGGCUUCGGCCGCCAUUCGCUCCACGAACAGGAGUCCUGGCUCCUGUUCCAGGCGAACAUGCCGGCGCCGCCGGACAUGCGCGCCGGGCCAACGGGGUGGAGACUCAGCGCCACAGUUUAGCCGAAAUUUUGCCGAAAUUUGCCAUGUUUAGAUUAGGUUAAUGUAAUGAAAAUGCGCAAAUUUCGCCGAAAUUUGCCAUGUUUAGCCGAAAUUUAACUACUUUUUAUCAUAACUUCGCCGAACGGCCCUCGUUUUUUUUAAUACGCGCCUGGGGGCGGCCCUGGGUGCCGACGGCUGGGGACCGACUCGCGCCCAGGGGCAUUUUUUGCGCCGGCUCACCCCCAGGCGGCGCUUUUAGACGCCCCCUGGGGGGCCAACGGCUGGAGAUGCCCUAACCCGCGGUAGCCACCCAACCACACCGCUUCUACUGGUAGCUUCUUACAUUUCAUUCUUUUACUUUCUUCUCUCUUGUCUUGUUCUUUUUCUUUUUACUUUUUCCUUUCUUUUCUCUUUCUUUUUAUUUAUUUUUCUUAAAUCCGUGAACUUUAUCAAAAUCCGUGAACAUUUUUCAAGUCGUUGAGUUUUGUUUUUCAGAACUGAUGAACUUUUUUCAGAACUGAUGAACUUUUUUUAAAAUUGAUAAACUUUUAUAAAAUUGAUGAACUUUUUUUAAUCUGAUGAACUUUUCUCAAAAUCCAUGAAUAUUUUUUUCAAAAUUGAUGAACUUUUUUCAAAACCGAUGAACAUUUUUUCGAAAUCGAUGAAACUUUUUAAAUUUUAUGAACUUUAAAAAAAUGGUGAACUAGUUUUCAAAAUUGAUGAACUUGUUUAUCAAAAUCAAUGAACUUUUCGAAUAAUUUUCAGAUUUACGUUAAUGUUUCACUAAAGAACGGUUAAAUGGAAAUUUUUGCUAGUUAGUUCAAUUUUUUCGCGUCGUGGUCGAAGCUCACCCGGGCCGGCCCAGUAGCGCGAUGCUUCGAGCGCCAGAACGUGAAACCGGCACUGGUUAGGAGCUCCCUUUUUACUCUUCGAACAAAUGAAAAUCGAUUGUAGUCAUCCUGGGUGAGGAAUAGUUAUUCUUCACCCACCUCUAUUUUAUCAUCUAUGCAUCGUAAUUUUACGUUUCGUAAAUUUUGUCUUAUUUUAGACAGAAAAGGAAAACGUAAGAAAACAUAUAAUAGUCGUAAAAAAUAUUUUAUGUUAUGUAAAACUACAAAUGUAAAAACAUAGUGUAAAAUGUACAUAAAAUACAAUUUUGACCUAUAUUUUUUUUGUUAUGCCAAAUUUUAUGCAGUAAAUCAAUAUGAAUGUAACUAUUUGUAUUUAAAAUGUAAUUUAUUUAUGAAAUGAUCGUAAGAUUACCUCGGGUGAAGACUAACUUAUUCUGCACCCUGGGUGAUAUAUAUAAUUUUCACAUAUUCAUCUCAUAUAUAUGAUUAAGCUUAUGAAUAAUCAAAGAUAGUCUCGAAAAACGCAUUAGACCGUAUAUAUAUGGAUGGGGAGAGUAUGUCUUUUCUUCCUUGAGAUUAUCAAUUAUGUUUCUUGGUUUGAACGGACGACUUUGGAUGUUAGACAAGCGCCAUGUUUGGCCGGCCUCUAAUCUAGGUGUUCACCUGAUUUUUCUGAGCAGGUGCAAGUCAAGUCAACCACCCAAGUUUUCACUACUUUCCACGCAAGAUACAAGCCAAGUCAAAAGUGAACCAUCAUUUGAAGUUGAGCUCACGAGAUACCAACAAGAAGCAAGUAUUCAUUAUGAAACUGUUUAAGAUCUUCGUCGUCCUCGUCAUCUUGGUUGUUCUAUCCACCUCAAAACCAUUGUGGUGGGUUAGUGCACUAGGGAAGCAUGCAAAAAAAGCGCCAAAAGUUGGCAUACAAGGGGAACAGAUCGGCAGACUGCCUCCGGCGCCAAUACCAAACCAGCAUGCGCAUGGACGAGGGCCAGGGCCACCACUACCACAUCCACCAAGAACACAGAAGAGCAGAAUGCAGCCUCUGCGCUCACCGCCGCCUCCUUCACCGCCGGCGCAGAAGAGCAGAGUGCAGCCAAUGCCACCUCCGCCGCCGAUACAUAAGAGUGGGGCAUGGCCGAUGCACCUUCCGCCGCCCCCACCAAAAGUGCAGAAGAGGGUAGAUCAGCCGUUGCGCUUCCCGUUGCCUCCACCACCAGUGCAGAACACCCUAGCUCAGCCAUUGAGCUCCCCACCACCUCCACCAUGAGCACAUAUGGCAGAGUGGCUCGUGGUUAUUAGAUCCUUCAUUUUCUUCCCUGCCAUCAUUAUAUGCAAUUAGAUCUUAAGUUUUAGCUAGCACAAAUGAUGCCCGUGCGUUGUAACUGGAGAAAAGAAUUUUUCAUGUUUGUGCGUCUGUGCGUUGCCAUGGGAGAACACUCAUGUAUGUGAUGCUAUCAAGAUUCAUCUUAACUGAAAACUUAAUUGUCCAUUUGUUAAAGAGUAAAUUACACCGGUGAUGCUAGAACUUGGCGCAAAUGGUCACUUUAGUGCUAGAACCUGUUGCAUACAUCGAAGUGGUGCAAAUAUUUGGCUCAAACAUGCAAAUACGGUGCAAAUCUCGUUUCUAUACGCCGGCGACGUUGACGGGGCAUGACAGUGUGGCGUGGGGCCCGCAGUCAAUGACCAUAUUGGGAAGACGGGUGUGUGGCGUGCUCUUUUUGUAAAAAAUAACCUUGAAUUCUUAUUUUUCACUUUUUCCUCACAUAAAGGUCCAUGUUAAGUUUAUGCAGUAACUGCAUGUGUGACACCGAAUGAUCCCACUUGUCAGCCAAAGAUCAUAAAUUUUACUUCCUCCGUCCGAGAAAAGUUGUCACCAACGCAGUUUAAUUGUAAUUUUGUCAAAAAGACCUUAUCAUUUUAAAUCUCAUGCUAAUCUGCCCUUCUUCCUCCCCCGACGCCCACGGGCACCGCGCGCCCCAGCCUCCGGCUCCCCCCGUCGCCGGCGGGCACAGCGUGCCCCAGCCGUCGUAGGGAUCAGCCGGCGACGAAGUCCCACUUGCGCCGCCACCCACCUGCCCCGCUGCUGCAAACUUGCGCCUCCCCUGCUUACGUGCGCACACGGAGGCGAGCUUCGCAUCCGCCCGCCUGCUCCUCUCCGGCGACAACUCGACGGGCGGCGGCUCCAUGACUGAUGGGCGGCAUCUCCUUGUCGUCUUGCUUGCGACCCAGCACCGCCGCCCACCUGCGCAGCUGCCACAGAGGUGACCACCGCCGCCUACCUGUGCCGCUCGCAGGGCCUGGGCCGUCCGCUUCGGCCGCCGGCAUGCCCCCUUCCGCCACUCCGGCCUCUUCUGCUGUUGCCAUCUUCCUCCGCCUCUGCUGCUUAUGCUAGUGGUGGUGCAGCUCCCGAUCUUCGUCCAGGCAGCCCCAAUCUUCUUCUUUGUCCCCCGCUGUGCUGCUGUUGAAGGUACCAGCGCCCCCGCCCUGAAAUUGUUGUCAUUUGGACAAAUUGGUGUGAGAUUGUCUGGGUAGCAUCAUGGCAGCAUCAUUGUAGAUCAGACUGAUGUGAACUUGAUGAGGAUUAGAGCACCAGCGGAUCAUCCAGUUGGAUCCUGAAUCAACACAUUCACGGCCUCCUCUUCAUCGUCCCCUUCUUGACUGAAUUACGAGCAAGCUUUCUCUGGUUACGUCACAAUUUCACCUGUAGCAAGCUUCGAUUGAUGAGUCAUCUGUGUACCUAGGCUCAAUAUGCAUGUGUACCACAGCCUAGGAAGAAUAGAACGGUGAACAAGUCAUUAUUAACGAUAAUAUCACAGCAGGGUCAAUAAAUUCAGAGAGACAAACUUAACAAGGCUAAUUUCCAUAUAAUUUUUUGGAACAAUAUUCAUUUUUGAUUUGAACUUGCAAAAAUAGGCAACUGUUGUUUUGAACUCUUAACUACAGUAAGAUCUUAGACUCACUCCUUACUAAAAUAUCCUCUCCCUCCUUGCUGCCUUUUUCCUUUUCUUGUGCAUCCAUUCAGUGUUCUACAGGUCAUGUUGAGCGGCACAUGCUGCAACAGAGGGCCGAAGACCAAACCUUGAAUUACAGAAUAUUUUAGCAGAAUCAAGGACCAAGUCUUAGACCAUUGAUAACAAAACAAAGUACUUAAAGAAAAAUAAGAAUAUGAGAAAAUUAGUUCUGCUAAUAGCCUCUUCAACUCUGAUGCUUGCAGUCUAGAACAUCUGAUGCAAACCAACAUAUUGUGGACUAAAUCAACUUGUGUACAGUAGAGCCUAAGAAAUCUGGUCUUCUGUUCUAACCACUCAACAUUGAAGUUUAAGUGAACAAUUUUGCAUCGACUGCUAUCAACUUGAAGCUUCUUGCAUCUUAAUUCAUGUUCUGGUUGAAACACUCUGCAGUACACUGAAUUUUGUACUACAUGAACUUUUGAAAUGAAUACAGUACAUGUUCUGCUUGAUUGCUACUGUAUCUUGAUUCAAUAAACUGCAGUAAACUGAAUUUUUGCUCUGAAUAGUGCAUAAUUAUGCAAUGAACUGCAGUAAACUAUAGUAGUUUAUUCCCUCUCAGAGUCAAACUGAAUUUUAUACUUGAACUUUGAAAUGAAUAAUGUACUCUUAAAACUUUGGAUAGCUGAAAAAUCUCACAUCAUCUAAUGUUUUGACUAAAACUCUGUCAACAUUCAGUUUUGACCAAGAAACAGGGAAGCAGGUGGGAAUUUGUACAGUAAUGGCAAGAUGCAAAAUGGUGCUAGUAACUUCAGUUCUGCAAAAAACAAGAAUGAUGCUUACUGCAGUUUUGCAAAUUUUGAAAACAUACACUCAUGUUUCAGUUGACAGUAACAAUUUUGCAAGCACUAACUUGGAAAAAAUCCUACUGUAGUUUACUGUUGAUCAAGAAAAUUCAGACUAAUGCUGACCUUGAUCUUGAUUGAAUCGUACAUGGAGGGCUUGACCUUGAGUUGCUGCUCCAUGGCUGCCUGUCAUUCUCACUCCUCCUUGAUCUUGAUAAAGGAAAUGCUAUCACAUGUCCACACAAAUUCAGUAUCCACAUGUCCACAAAUUCAGUGUUAACACAAAUUCAUUAUUCAGUGCUACCACAUGUCCACACGACGACAUCAGGAUGAUUGAUAAAGAAAUGCAUAACACUACAUUAACACCAUAUUUGUGCAGAUGUUCUUAUUUGAGUUGAAGAUGUUCUCAGUAUUGUACUGCUCCAUGAUACUCCAUGGAGUAUUCGUGAUCUGUAACUUAAACUGAGACACAAAAAUUUGAGUGAAUACUCCACUGUUUUCAGUGAGCAGUGCAGCUUUGACAGUACUCCACUAUUCAACACUUUGCAAACUGAAUUUCAACAUUGUUUGCGAACUGAAUUUCAACAAAGGGGGAUUCUUUGCAAACUGAAUUUCAACAUUCUUCUCCCCAUCAAUUCAAUUACAUGCAAUGGGGAGCAUAAAGAUCAGUGUUUUAGAUCUUUAAACCUUACCAGUACUGCACUCAGUUGCCAAGCAAAUGGGGAUCUGUUCUUUCUCUUGAUAAUCAAAUUGCGCCCGUGCAAUGCAAGCAAGCAGCGCAUCGCAGGGAGUGAGAGGUAGUGAGAGGGGGGCACUGACGAUCCUUGGGGCCCAUGGUGACCUUGACGACGUCCGCGAGGUCGUUGACGCACCGCGGCAUGGUGGCGUGCAUGCCGACGCCGAAGGUGACCUCCUUCGCCGCAUGCUCGCGCGCCCACUGCUGCUAGUCGCCUGCGCCGCCACCGCGGGUGAGCUGCCGCCGCAACGCCGAGGAGGAGGGCCUGGAAAUGGCCGCCGCCGAGCAGAUCGAAAGAAAAAAAUCAGUCUUCUCCUCGUCGGGGAUCAUCAUGGGGAACGAGGAGGGGAACAAGGAGAGGGAAGCUGCGGGGGAGGCGUGGGGUGGGGGAGGCGUGGGUCGGGAGAGCUCUGGCGAUGCGGGGAGCUGCGGGGGAGCCGCUGCGGGGGAGCUGCGGAGGAGCCGAGCUGCGGGGGAGCGGACCUCCGACGCGACAGAGGAGCGGGGGAGACGGCGGGAGCUCCGGGUUUGUCGGGAAUUCGCUGGGGGGGGGUUUCAGAAAAACACCACGCGGACAACUUUUUCCGGACGGAGGGAGUAUUAGUUUCAGAAUGAAAAACGAAAACCACGCAUGACUCAAACCGGUGACGCUUGGGUCAAACUGAGUGCGCGGCUAACAAUUGAUGCCAUAUAAUGAUACUAAGCCUUUUACAUCCCGACCUAAAAUAAUGUAAAAUAAGAAGAAAAGAUCACGGGGAACGUAAAAAAAGAAUUGUAUAUUUGAAAAACAAAAAGAUACCGCCGUGGGAUUUUGUACUAGCGACCUGACAGUUACCACCAGCAGGAACUAGCAAUACAACCACUAGCAUUUCGUGCCUUAAACAUGUUGGUUUGUUUUCCUUUUCACUUUUUAGCCUCAAAAUAUGUAAAUUGUAUUGUAAAUGUGUAUUUAUCUGAGAAUCUGCAGUCUGAGGCACACUAGGCUAAAUUAUUUUCGUACAUAUAUUUAACUUAAUUUAAAAAUACAAAUAUAAUUUAUAGAAAACACAACAAGUUUAUAAAAAUGCAUGAACACUUAAAAAACAUAAACAAAUAAAAUCUUGGACAAUUUUANNNNNNNNNNNNNNNNNNNNNNNNNNNNNNNNNNNNNNNNNNNNNNNNNNNNNNNNNNNNNNNNNNNNNNNNNNNNNNNNNNNNNNNNNNNNNNNNNNNNNNNNNNNNNNNNNNNNNNNNNNNNNNNNNNNNNNNNNNNNNNNNNNNNNNNNNNNNNNNNNNNNNNNNNNNNNNNNNNNNNNNNNNNNNNNNNNNNNNNNNNNNNNNNNNNNNNNNNNNNNNNNNNNNNNNNNNNNNNNNNNNNNNNNNNNNNNNNNNNNNNNNNNNNNNNNNNNNNNNNNNNNNNNNNNNNNNNNNNNNNNNNNNNNNNNNNGGAUUUUAAAAUUAAUAGGUGAGCAUAUUUUUGGUUUACAUAUUUACUUAUAUGUGUAUUUUAUAAUUACAAUUUACAUCUUUUUAUAACUAUAAAUAUCAAACCAAAAAAAUUGUAAUUAUAAAUAAUAUACAUAUUCUGUUAUAGACAUGUAAAUUGUAAUAAUAUACAUGUAAAUUGUAGCCCAGGAGCACGUUCUGUUAUAGACAUGCACUGUAACAAUUAUAUUUACACAUGUGACAGUCCAUAGUUGGAGUAGCUUGUUCGAAACCCCACGAGCAAAACUUUUUUUACGGAUUAAAAUUCAAAGAUAUAAAACUUGUGUAUGCUUAUGCAUCAGCAACUGAACUCUGAGCGGGAGGGUAGCCGCGCACACUCGUUAGAUCGUGGUCACCGUACGAAUUCCUCCGCGCCAUAUUUUUCAUUCUAACAAAAUUUGUGAUGUUUCACUGACAAGUGAGACCAACCAGAUGCCACACGCCUAACAGAUGCCUUUUGAUGAGAAAAAAUAAAUAAAUAUCUGAGGGUGUUUUUGCAAAAAGAGCAUGCCACACGCCCAGCCUUCACUAUGCAGUCACUGAUAACGGCCCCUAUGUCACGCUGUCAUGCCCCGUCAGCGUUGUGGCCAUAUACAAACGAGAUUUGCACUGUAUUUGCACGUCCAAGCCAAGUUUUUGCACCACUUUAAGUAUCCCGCAAGUUCUGACACUAAAGUGACCGUUUGCGCCAAGUUUUAGCACCGCCAGUGUAAUUGACUCUUUGUUAAAGUAUCAUACAUGCAUUUGUCUACAUAAAGAGAUAUGGUUAAAUGCCCAUGCAUUUCUAUGGAGCAAAAAAUUCAACUGAUUGUAACUUUCCUAUUUGCCAAUUAAACCUAGGCGCCUUGACCACCUUUAACUCUCUUGUCACCUAAGUAACCUAAGGCUCUGUUUGGUUCAUAAGUCCUAGGGUUUUUUUUAGUCCCAACUUAUAAGUCCCAAGUCCCUAAUAAAUCCCUACCUGUUUGGUUCCUGUGACUUAACAUGGACUAAAAGGCCAUAUUACAACUAUAAGUCCCUAUAAGUCCCUCUUUGAGAGUCUUAUUUCAUAAGUCUCAAAUGCCCACUUUAAGUCCCUAUAAGUCCCUCCUGUUUGGUUUAGAUGGGACUUAAAGGGACUUAUUUAAGUCCCUACGCGGGCACCGUCCUUGAGAGCUAUGGGAAACCAAUUCGCCAUGACCUUUUCGUCCCUGUUGGCGGCUUCGAUGCCCAGCUCGUAGAGCUGAAGGAACUCCGCCGGGUCUGCAGUGUCAUCGUAGCGAGGAGGCAGGUCCGGCUUGAACUUGGCGGACCAUGCGACGCUACGCAGCUCGACGGUGAAGGCGCGGCAGCCUGCAGUGGCCACCGGAGCUCUGUGCUGAUGCGGGGCUUGCUCCUGGGGAUUCUCGCGCACCGCUGCCUGGAGCAGCGCGGGGUCUUGACGUGGCGGCGCGGGGAUGCGGUCAUGGCGCACCGGUGCCAGGAGCACGCGGGCACCUUCUUGGGGACGAGGGAUUUCUUGGCAACUCCUUUCUUGUCGUGCAGGCGCCGGACAUAGUGGGUCUCGUCCUGGGGCCCGCGCCUUGGAGUCAGGGCGCCUUCUUGGGGAGGAGAUGGCGGAGGCACCUCCUGCUCCUCGCCUCUUGCGCAGGACGGAGGGCGAGGCAGCGAGAGAGAUGGCAAAGGAGAGCCCCCUGCGACGCUGACGAGCUCGGUGAUGCGGGCGAGCCAAUCCUCGUAGAGGUCGUCGAUGGGACGGUAGUGCAGGAGCUCACGCGCCAGUAGCAGCACGGCGUGCGCGUCCGUGGGGGCGCGACGGGCGUGGGAAGACGAACCGGCUGGAGUCAGCGACAGGGUGGCGGUGCGGCGCGAAGGAUGCAGGGACGAGGCUUGCUGCUCGUUCCCCGCCGGCCGGUGGCGGCGUUGGUGGCAGGCGACGGGGAACGACGGGGGCGUCCGUCGACAGGAGCCGUCUGGGCGACUCGAGCGGCGAGAGCAGCCCGACGCUCGGCGCGGGCUCAGCGAGCAUCAGACAUGGGCACGACGGAAGAUCACACGCGACCAGCGGAAGAAAGAUUCCGGCGCACCCCUACCUGGCGCGCCAAAUGUCGGAUUUCGGGUUCCGGCAGACCCUUGAGGUUCGAACUCUGGGGUGACAUGAAGAUCUCUCCCCUACCAGAUCACGUCUCGAAGUCUUGCAAAGGAUCUAGGCUAGAAAGAAGAACACACAAGGGACACGAGAUUUAUACUGGUUCAGGCCACCAUUGUGGUGUAAUACCCUACUCCAGUGUGUGGUGUGGUGGAUUGCCUCAGGGACUGAUGAUGAAUAAUACAAAGGGAGAACAGCCUUGCGAGGGGCUGUUCUUGAGCUGGUGCGACGAACUGCUCGGGUGAGUUCAGUCGCUUCUCUCUCUCUCUCUCUCUCUCUCUCUUUCUCUGAUCGAUCCAUCUGUCCUCCCCCCUACUCUGUGGUGGCUAGUCCUAUUUAUAGAGGGAGGCCCUGGGCCUCUUCCCAAAUAACGAGCGGGAAGGGCGCCAACAAUUGGCCAUUUUGAAGGGGAACAUAGUACACUUAUCCUGACUAAAGUUGGUCUUCGGCUGCCAAAGGUUCUGACGAUGACGCCGUCCUGGGCUCCACGAUGACCUCCAUCCUGCCGUUCUGCUGGUCUUGGUCUUGUUGCACCGAAACGGUAACCUUUGACUGAUGCCUUGGCCUGUGCUUGCCCCCUUUGCACCGAAGGGGAAACAAGGACGCUGCGCAGGCCGCCGCCUGUCUGGUCUCGAUCGUCAUGGCUUGCGUCACGGGCACCUCGCGAGGUACCCUUGCCUUGAUCUCUCCGCCUCCUCGCGAGCCUGCCUAACGAGGCUGCUCCUGAGGAAGCUUCCUGUCGUCCGCCCCGCGAGGCUUGGCCCCUCGCGAGGGUCUUGAGCUUGAGCUGAUGAAGCUGGGCUGCACUGGGCCCCCACUUGAGCCACGCCGCAGGCAGGCAAGUCUGGGGACCCCCGUUCCCAGAACGCCGACAACAGCCAUGGGGACCUCUAUCCAUUCUUCACCAACUCCGGCGUGUAAGCUCUUCUCACGGUGGUUGGCAGCGACCACUAGUAGAAAACGGAGCUUUAGCGCCGGUUCGUAAGGGCCUUUAGUGCCGGUUACAUAACCGGCACUAAAAGGUCGUCACUAAAGGCCCCCCCCCUUUAGUACCGGUUCGUCACGAACCAGCGCUAAAGUGCCACCACGUGGCGUGAGCUCGCGCCCCGGUAUGGGAGACCUUUAGUACCGGUUCGUGUUACCAACCGGCACUAAAGGUUUUUUUUUUGAAUUUUUUUUUGAAAAUUUUGGAAAAAAAUUUUGAUUUUUUUUUCGAUUUUUAAUUUUUCUGAAUUAUUUGAUGAUUUAGUCUCUAAUCACCUCUCUUAAUUGCUCAUGUGUGGAUCACUCAUUCCAAAUCAUCUAACUUCCUGACCGGUCACCCAUCCCUCUCACUACUCUAGCCCGAGCACGCUUAACUUUCGAGUUCUAUUCUCCUUCGUUUCCGAGUCUGCACUUGUUGUUUUCCUGACAAUAGUAAGAUGUUAAUCCUAUUAACCCUCAGGAGUUUAGCUUGAGCAUGAAGUCACACAUUUCACCAUUUGAGCUUGAAACUAUUAUUCUAAAAAACAGUAAUUAUUUAGUAACGCUAAUAUUUCUUGAAUAAGUUUGACCAUAGCUUGACCACAGUUUGACCAUAGUUUGACCAGAUUUGACCAAAAUUCAAAAAAUUGAAAUAAUUAUUUAGUAACACUAAUAUUCUUGAAUAAUUAUGUAGUAACAUUAAUACUUCUUGAAUAAGUAGUUUGACCAGAUUUAACCAAAAAAUUUUAAAAAAACUGAAAUUAUUUGACCAUAUCUUUUUUUUUCUUUUGGAAUUUGAGGAUUCCAAAUAGGCCGUAGGCUGUCUCCAUUGGAUGCGGAUUUUCGUGCUGAAUUUUUUGAUAUAUUAUACGUUUUUUUCCGACAUCGUAUGCAAAAGUUAUAUCCGUUUUACAUUUUCCCAUCGGAUGCGAAAAUUGCCCUAUAGUGCCGGUUUGUGGCACGAACCGGCACUAUAGGUCAGACCCCUUUAGUACCGGUUCGUGGCACGAACCGGUACUAAAGGUGAUCGUGGGGCCCCGGCCUGACGCCAGCCUGCCACCACCCCUUUAGUACCGGUUCGUGCCACGAACCGGUACUAAAGGUUCAACACGAACCGGCAUUAAUGCAAAUCCGUUCGAACCGGCACUAAUGUAUACAUUAGUGCCGGCUUUAAUACAAACCGGCACUAAUGUGCUGCACGUUUGACCCUUUUUCUACUAGUGGACGUAUGGCACCGGCGCUUGGGGCAUCCUAGUGACAAGACUAUCUCCACUUUAGCUCGAUUUUUCUUCCAACAUGUCAUAAAUUAGCAAUGCAAUGUACAACAGACCAACCAAAAUUUGAGUUUAUGCAUACACUACAAUCCAUUGUGAUCUAUAUGCUGGAGUUACCUAAACAAAUACUAUUGAUAAGAGUAAGUCUGACAAACAAACAAAACUACCAUAGCACCGCACGUCUUCACAUGCACAUAAAAUUGCAGCUCAGAAAAGCUUAUGUUGGUUUUACCCUUUUUUCCUUUUCUUUUGAGGUGAAUUUUCUUUUUUUCGUGAGUUCAUCUUGAGGGGAAAAAAAUCCCGUGAGCAGGCCUGGUAGUCAGCACCAGAAGCCCAUCAGGAUCAGGCCUUCCCCUCCCGAGCUCGCUCGAGCCGCCGCUCAGCGCCAUGACAGCAAGCAGAGCUCAUCACCCUACCCCUCCUCAUGUUGUGCAUCACCGGGCCACAGCUGUCUCCUUCCUGUUUUCUUCCUCUCUUCGGCACCACCUCCUUGUACGAGCUCCCCCUUCUCCGAUUCCUUCAUCCUCCCAUGGCGCUCUCUCGCCCCUUCUCUCUCUGUAGAGCCAACUAAUCAAGCAAAGCCUCCCCCGCUUGGCCUCUCUUUCUUUCAGCAAUCAAAUUCACAUCUAUUCCCGAAACAACUUCUUGAUUCUCCAGAAAACUUAAGAACGUAUACAAAUUGAUGAAUAGUGAUGAAAACGGGCGAGGUGGGACUAUAUAAUUUGUUAGUGAACGUGUUUGUAACGCAAGAAUAGGUUCGCGCAGUUGGCUACAGCCUUGUGGGCACGAAGGAGAGGUCGCAAGUUCGACACCUGCGAGAAAGCAAUUAUUGUUUGCUCUCUACGACAGUGAACCCGACGGAAUCAAUCCGUGCUUUAUUAUUAGGGAUUAGGGAAAUAUAUGCAUAAUCUUGUACUACCCACUUAGCGUCGAUCUGUGCGCACAAUGUUGUGGUUUUGUCAAAUAGAGAUCCUUAUGCAGGGUUUCGUUACCCAUUUGUUCAAUUUGUGUCACCAAUAAAACUGAACGAAUAGGCUAUCUGAUAAAUGUGCAAAAACUAAAAUUUUCUAAAUAGCAUCUGAACGACUUUACUGUAUGAUGCCUUCUUGUGCUACAUGGAAAAUAAGAGUCACUUCAUCGUUUCAACUUUUUUGAGAGAAGUUCUCAGACGUCGUUUGCCGUGAAUUAUGGGCUGGCUAGGUGUCAGAUGACCGAAAACUAAUAUUGGUUCAGUCACUUUUUCUAUUGUCCUUGAUUGGCGUUCUGUCCGCAUGCAAGCGCUGAAACAGAAGCCUCGUAACGACCGACCUUUUGGUAUACUACGCCAUGCAUGCAUGCAAGCUGCUCGGUCAUGCUGCAUGCCUUCCGAUUUAUGAAUGUACUGCUUGAGUUUGACUAGAACGAAUUUCUAACACGGCAGGCUUGUACAAAACUCCCUCUUUUCUUUUCCACGUAAAGUGAAAUGAAAAAAAAUGGCGAAAUGAAAAAAAAAGUUGGAAUGAAAAAAGGUGAAAUGAAAAAAUAAAAUAAAAUAAAAUUUGGAGCCAGAAGUAUUAGUGCAUGGGAGAUAAAAACUGAUUUUAUUUGUAUCAAUUACUUUUUCUUAUGGGUAAAUACAGACGUACGUUAAAAGUAUGUUUUGUUUCACUCGACACUUUAGAGGAGCACUAGGCCCUAUGCAACCAAUAAACAGAAGCCCAUCCGAUAUUUGAGCUUUGUCUGAAAUAUAAAUAAAUGACAUGAUACCUAGUAAGACAUAAGAUAAAAACAAUAAUAAAUGAACAAAAUAAAGUAGAAAUAAGAAAUUAAGUUGUGUACAAAAGAAUGAAUUAGUGGCAUGAGUAUUACCCUUUAAAAAUUGAGAAAAGUAAUACAAACACUGGCAAUAUCCACAGACAAUUUACGCAAAAAAAUGUGUUGUUUAUAAUAUGCAAGAAUAAGCAUAUAACAGUGGAAUUUUCGCGGCAUUGAUAUUACCCUUAAAGAAGAAGAAAAUGAAAUAAUUAAGAAGUAAAAAAAUCAAAAUAAUGAAGUCUUCUAAGUAAGAAUAAGUUAGUGCCACUAGUAUUACCCUUUAAGAAGAAAGAAAAUGUAAACAAUAAAUAAUGACAAAAUUUUCACAUAAUUCAAAUACAAAUUGUGUCUUUUAUAAUACACAAGAAUAAGCAAAAAAUAAUAAAGUUACACAGAAAUAAUGUAGUUUUUUAACAAAGAGUUAGUGGCAUUGGUAUAACACUUAAACAAGGAGAAAAUGAAAUAUAAACUAGCAGAAAAUCAAAAUAUGUUAGUGGCAUUUGUAUUGUCAGUCAGGAAGUAAAUAAUGAAAUAAAAAGAAUAAAUGGAAUAUAAACUAAAAGAAAAACAAAAUAUGACGUUACUAAGGAAGAAUGAAGUAGUGACAUUUGUACUACGCAUUACGAAGAAAGAAAAUGAAAAAUAAUCUACAACAGAUAAUGUCGAAACUUGCACAUAAUUCACACAAUAAGUGUGCCUUUUUAUAGUAUGCAAGAUGACCAUAUAAUAGCGAACUUUUCCGCAAAAAAGUUUCCUAAGAAGAAAUGAAUUAGUGACAUUGGUAUUACCCUUAAAGAAGAAAGAAAAUUAAUAUAAAGUAAAACAUGAUCAAAAUAAAGAAGUUUUCUAAAGAAGAAUUAAUUAGUGGCAUUUGUAUUACCCUUUAAGAAUAAAGAAAUGAAACAAAAACUGAAAUAAAAAAAGUUUUCUAAGGAAGAAUUAAUUAGUGGCAUUGUUAUUAUUCUUUAACAAAAAAAUGAUGCAUUUUAAAAUAUUUUAGACAUAAGUUUCUUUCUUUUUCAAUAUGCAACAACAAACAUAUAAGUGGAAUUUCUCAAAAAAGUUCUAAGGAAUGAAUUAGUGGCAUUGGUAUUGCUCUUAAAGAAGAAAGAAAAUGAAUAAAACUAAAACAAAAUUAAAACAUUGAAGUAUUGUAGAAUGAUAGUGGCAUUUGGUACUAUCUUAUAAGAAGGAAAAUAAUAUUUAAAAAACUUGCACACAACUUUGCACUAAAAGUUCUACUUUUAAAAUAUGCUAAGGAUAAGCAUAUAAUGGUAUAUUUUUCACAUUCUAGUGUAAUCUACACACAUACUAUAUAGUGCUUAGGUGUAUACAUUUCUACUCAUCCAAUAUGCAAAACAUAUCCAUGUAGAAAAAAGAAAAAAAGCCUAGAAAAAGCAAAAGCAGAAGACACAUAAAAAACUCGUAAUUUGUAAGGGACUUCAGGCCCAAUAGGAAAAUCGACUUACCACAAACAGGGGUAAGUCGAAAAUUCAGUCUAAGAAAAAUUGACUUGCCCCAAAUAGGGGCAAGUUAAAAAUUAAGCAUAAGAAAAAAUUGACUUACCCCAAACAGGGGCAAGUCAACUCAGCUUAAACAACAGAAGAAAAGAAAAACGACACGAAUCAUAACAAAAGAAAAACAAUGGUCAGAAAAUUGACUUACCCAAAUUUAAAAUCCUGGCGACUUACAUAUAGCUAAAGUGAUGAAUAUUUACUUUCCUGAAAACAAACAUGGAAAAAUCCUAUAAAUAUGCAACUCGUUGCUCACAGCAAAGCAUUUUUCUAUGGGAACCAAAAUAUUCCUUCAGUGUAGAAAAAUAAUUCACUACAAAUCUUUCCUUUCUAAGUUAGAAGAAACCAAUUAGCCAUUAAAAUUAAACAAACGUCCGGACAUGCCCAUGAACGUUUGGUGUGUCCAUUUUAAAUUACGCGGUUGGAGAUGCCUUAACCAUCUCUGCCAAAGCUGAACUAGCUUCCCGCCACAAAAAAAGAAGAAGCUGAACUAGCUCAGAGGAUUGUAUAGCUAGCCACAGCCGAUGUAGGAAUAUUUGAUAUCACAAAAUACACUGUUGUUACGAGCUAGCAUCGUGGCCCAGAAUAUCCACAAAUGUUUGCAGGCAACAUCGCCAAAUUGAAAUGCUGGAACAUGAAACCCCGUCUCAAAAAUUGCGAGACAUAUCAUCUUAAGAUUUACGAAGUCAACGUAGGCGCCUCGUCGCCGUACGGGUAUGUCUCCUCCCACUGAAAGCGCAUCGCCGGAAAUCCUGAAAUAAAUCCAAAAAUAAUGUGAGCAGAGCACCAAGACUUGAACCCUGAUGGGCUGUGAAUAUCACUGUCCCUUUAACCAUUCAACCACAACUUAAUUUGCGCAAAUGUAACUCAAUUAGUACGUACAGUAACUAUGUUUCACUGGUCCAAUAGACAUUGGAUACCAGACAAGCCAUGUGUGACCUCUGAUCUAGGUGGGGUUAAUGCGUGACCGGGUUUUCCACACAAGCCAUGGAUGCUAGACAAGCGCCAUGUGUGGCCUCUAAUCUUGGUGUUCACCUGAUUUUCUUAGCAGGUGCAAGUCAAGUCAACCACCCAAGUUUUCACUAUUUUCCACGCAAGUUACAAGUCAAGUCAACAGUGAACCAUCAUUUGACUAUAAGUUGAGCUCAUGAGAUACCACCAAGAAGCAAGUGUUCAUUAUGAAACUGUUCAAGAUCUUCGUCGUCCUCGCCAUCUUGGUUGUUCUAUCCACCUGAAUACCAUUGUCGCGGGUUAGUGCACUAGGGAAGCAUGCAAAAAAAGUGCCAAAAAAGUUGGCAUACAAGGGAAACGGAUAGGCAGACUGCCUCCGGCGCCAAUACCAAACCCGCGUGGGCGGCACAGCCGAGGGCCACCACAUCCACCAGCAACACAGAAGAGUAGAAUUCAGCCGUUUAGCUCACCGCCGCCUCCUUCGCCGCCAGCGCAGAAGAGCGGAGUUCAGCCUCUGGGCUCACCACCGCCUCCUUCAUCGCCGGCGCAGAAGAGCACAAUGCAGCCAAUGCCACCUCCACCGCCGGUGCAGAAGAGUGGGGCAUGGCCGAUGCACCUUCCGCCGCCUCCACCAAAAGUGCAGAAGAGGGUAGAUCCGCCAUUGCGCUUCCCGUUGCCUCCACCACCAGUGCAGAAGACCCUACCUCGGCCAUUGAGCUCCCCACCACCUCCACCAUGAGCACAUAUCGCAGAGUGACUCGUGGCUGUUUGAUCCUUCAUUUUCUUCCCUGCCAUCAUCAUAUGCAAUUAGAUCUUAAGUUUUCAUAUGCAUAAUCUUGUACUACCCACUUAGCGUCUAUCUGUGCGCACAAUGUUGUGGUUUUGUCAAAUAAAGAUCCUUAUCCAGGGUUUCGUUACCCAUUUGUUUAAUUUGUGUCAGAAUAAAAUUGAACGAAUAGGCUAGAUUUCCAAUAAAUGUGCAAAAACUAAAAAUUUCUAAAUAGGAACUGAACAACUUCACUAUGUGACAUGCCUUCUUGUGCUACGUGGAAAAUAAGAGUCACUUUUCAACUUUUUCGAGAGAAGUUCUCACACGUCAUUCGCCGUGAAAUAUGGGACUGGCUAGGUGUCAGAUAACCUAAAACUAAUAUUGGGUCAUUCACUUUUUCUAUUGUCCUUGAUUGGCAUCUGUCCGCAUGCAAGCGCUGAAAUAGAAGCCUCCUAACGACCGACCUUUUGGUAUACUACGCCAUGCAUGCAUGCAUGCUGCAUGCCUUCCGAUUUACUCCCUCCAUUUCUUUUUAGUCUGCAUAUGAGAUUUGGUUAAAGUCAAACUUUGUAAAAUUUGACUAACUUAUAGAGAAAAUAUCAACAUCUACAAUACAAAAGUUAUAUAUUAUGAAAAUUAAUUUCAUUAUGCAUCCGAUAAUAUUGAUUUCAUAGUGUGAAUGUUGAUAUGCUUUCCUAUAAAGCUAGUUAAACUUUCCAAAGUUUGACUUUGACCAAAUCUUAUAUGCAAACUAAAAAGAAAUGCAAGGAGUAUGAAUGUACUGCUUGAGUUUGAUUAGAACAAAUUUUUAACACGACAGGCUUAUACAAAACUCCCUAUUUUCUUUUCUACAUAGGAUGAAACGAAAAAGUAAAAAAGUGAAAUGAAAAAAGGCGAAUGAAUUUGUCUAAAAAACAUGAAAUGAAAAAUUAAAAUAAAAUAAAAUUUGGAGCCAGAAAUAUCAGUGCAUAGGAGAUAAAAAAUGAUUUUAUUUGCAUUGGCUACUUUUUCUUAUGAGUAAAUAAAGACAUACAUUAAAAGGAUAUUUGGUCUCAGUCGACUCUUUAGAGGAGCAUUAGGCCCUAUGCAACCAAUAAACAGAAGCUCAUCUGAUAUUUGAGCUUUGUCUGAAAUAUACAAAGAUGACAUGAUACCCAGUAAGACAUAAGACAAAAUGAUAAUAAAUGAACAAAAAUAAAGUAAGAAAUAAAAAAAUUUAAGUUAUGUAUGAAAGAAUGAAUUAGUGGCAUGAGUAUUACCCUUUAGAAAUGGAGAAAAAUAAUACAAAUACUGGCAAUGUUUGCACACAGUUUAUGCAAAAAAAUACGUUGUUUAUAAUAUGCAAAUAUAAGCAUAUAAUAGUGGAAUUUCACGGAAAAAUAUUUUCUAAGAAUGAAUGAAUUAGCAGCAUUGAUACUACUCUUAAAGAAGAAAGAAAAUGAAAUAACAAGUAAAACAAAAUCAAAAUAAUGAAGUCUUCUAAUUAAGAAUAAGUUAGUGCCACUAGUAUUACCCUUCAAGAAGAAAGAAAAUGUGAAUAAAUAAUAAUAACAAAAUUUUCACACAAUUAACAAAGAAAAUUGCGCUUUUUUAUAAUACACAAGAAUAAGCAGACAAUAAUGAAAUUACACAGAAAUAAUGUAGUUUCUAAGUAAGAAUUAGUGGCAUUGGUAUAACACUUAAAGAAGAAAGAAAAUGAAAUAUAAACUAAAAUAAAAUCAAAAUAAAGAUUUUUCCUAAGAAAUAAUGAGUUAGUAGCAUUUGUAUUACCAUUCAAGAAGAAAAUAAUGAUAAAAAAUGGAAUAUACACUAAGAAAACCAAAAUAUGACGUUACUAAGGAACAAUGAAUUAGUGACAUUUGUAUUACUCUUUACGAAGAAAGAAAAUGAAAAAUUAUCUAAAACGUAGAAUGUUGAAACUUGCAUAAAAUUUACACAAUUGCGCUUUUUUAUAAUAUGUAAGAUAAGCAUAUAACAGUGGAAUUUUUUGCAAAAAUAUGGUUUCCUAAGAAGAAAUGAAUUAGUGACAUUGGUACUACCCUUAAAUAAGAAAGAAAAUAAAUAUAAACUAAAACAUGAUCAAAAUAAAGGAAUUUUCUAUAGAAGAAUAAAUUAAUGACAUUUGUAUUUCCCUUUAAGGAGAAAGAAAUGAAACAAAAACUGAAAUAAAACCAAAAUAAUUAAAUUUUCUAUGGAAGAAUUAAUUAGUGGCACUGUUAUUACCCUUUAAGAAAAAUAAAUGAUAAAAUUUUCAAAUAUUUUAAACAGAAGUUGCUUUCUUUUAUAAUAUGCAAGAAUAAACAUAUAAUUGUGGCAUUGGUAUUGCUCUUAAAGAAGAAAGAAAAUCAGUAAAACUAAAACUAAAUUAAAACAAUGAAGUAUUGUACGGAAGAAUGAUAGUGGCAUUUGGUAUUAUCAUAUAAGAAGAAAAAUAAUAAUUUAAAAAAAACUUGCACACAACUAUGCACUGAAAAUUAUACUUUUAAAACAUGCUAAGGAUAAGCAUAUAACUAAUCUACACACAUACUAUAUAGGAGUACUACUUAGGUGUAUACAUUUCUACUCGUCCAAUAUGCAAAACAUAUCCAUGAGAAAAAAGAAAAACUGGCUGAAAGUGCAAAAGCAAAAAACACAUAAAAAAACACGCAGUGUGUAAGGGACUUCAGGCCCAAUAGGAAAAUCGACUUACCACAAACAGGGGCAAGCCAAAAUUUCAGCAUAAGAAAAAAUUGACUUGCCCCAAACAGGGGCAAGCAACUCAGCCUAACACAAGAAAAGAAAAACAACACGAAUCAUGACAAAAAAAAAGACAAUGGUAAGAAAAUUGACUUACCCAAAUUUAAAAUCCAGGCGACUUACAUAUAGCUAAAGUGAUGAAAUAUUUACUUUACUAAAAACUGACAUGGAAAAUUCCUACAAAUAUGCAACUCGUUGCUCUCGGCAAAACAUUGUUCUAUAUAAAACAUUGUUCUAUAUAUGGGAACCAAAAUAUUUUUUAGUGUAGAAAAAUAAUUCACUACAAAUCUUUCCUGUUCUAAGUUAGAAGAAACCAACUAACCAUUAAAAUUAAACAAACAUCAGGAGAUGGCCAUGAACGUUUGGUGUGUCCAUUUUAAGUUACGCGGCUGGAGGUGCCUUAACCAUCUCUGCCAAAGCUGAACUAGCUCCCCGCCACAAAAAAAGAAGAAGCUGAACUAGCUCAGAGCAUUGUAUAGCUAGCCACAGCCGAUGUAGGAAUAUUUGGUAUCACAAAAUACAUUGUUGUUACGAGCUAGCCUCGUGGCCCAUAAUAUCCACAAAUGUUUGCAGGCAACGUUGCGAAAUUGAAAUGCUGGAACAUGAAACCCCAUCUCAAAAAUUGCGAGACAUAUUAUCUUGAGAUUUACGAAGUCAACGUAGGCGCCUCGUUGUCGGCGGGAACAUCUCCUCCCACUGAAAUCGCAUUGCCAGAAAUUCUGAAAUAAAUCAAGGAAUAAGGUGAGCACCAAGACUUGAACCCUGAUGGGCUGAAAAUAUCACUGUCCUUUUAACCAUCCAACCACAAAUUGAUUUGUGCAAGUAACUCAAUUAGUACGUACAGUAACUACGUUUCACUGGUCCAAUAGACAUUGGAUACCAGACAAGCCAUGUGUGACCUCCGAUCUAGGCGGGGUUAAUGCGUGACGGGACCGGGUUUUCCAAGCAAGCGCAAGCCAAGUCAACCGUCCAAGUUUUCACCAUUUUCCAAGCAAACUACGCAUCAAUUUGUCAACUACUUCCUCCGUUCCUAAAUAAUUGUCUUUCUAGCCAUCUCAAAUGAACUACAACAUACAGAUGUAUAUAGACAUGUUUUAGAGUGUAGAUUCACUCAUUUUGCUCCGUAUGUAGUCACUUGUUGAAAUCUCUAGAAAGACAAUUAUUUAGGAACGAAGGGAAUACCAUCUAACUAUAAAUUGAGCUCACUAGACAUCGCUGAGAGAAAGCGUUCUUGGGCCAACAUGAAACUGCUCAAGCUCUUUCUCGUCCUAGCAAUCUUAGCUGCUUUGUGCACCUCAAAUGUGUCGUCGCAGGUUAGCCCGCUAGGGAAGCAGCCAAAAAAAGCGCCGAAAGUUGGUGUGCCGCCGGUGAAACGGCAGAGGAAAAUGCCUCCCGCGCCAAAGCCGUCGAUGUGGGUGAGCCCUGGAAAGCCAAUGACACCACCACCACAAACAUAGAAGAGCCGAAUGCAGUCGGUGCGCUCACCACCGCGUCCACCGCAUCAUGGAAGAGCACAUAAGGGUAUAGUUCAGCCAGUGUGCUCCCCGCCGCCUUCACCAUGAGCAGCAUGUUAUGAGCUGUGUGCAGUCGUUGGAGCUUACAUUUUCUCCUCGGUCACCAUUAUAUGCUCAUCAGAUCCUUACUUUUCGUAUGCUUAACAUUGUUGUACCCAUUUAGCGUAGAUCUUUACACACAAUGUAGUUGUUUUGUCAAAUAAAGUUUCAUAUGUGGAGAUACAUUACCCAUUUGUUCAACUUGUGUCACAAAUUAAACCAACUAAAUAGGCUAGAUUAUGGGAUAUUUUACCUUGGAAAAAAAUUCCGAGGAAAUGUGCAAAAACUAUAACCAAUCUCGAUGGCAUCUGAGACGCCCUUGGUAUGCUGGGUUGUCCUAUAUAUGCUACGGAGUACAUGGCAAAAGAGAGAGCCACCUCCGGUCUUCCAGUUUUUCAUUUUUCCUUCCUUUUUUUCCUGGGAUGAAACCUCUCAUGUGUCAAUCUCUAUGAAAUGCUCGGUUUACUAAAAUUGGACAAGGAAGUAUCCUUAUGAUUUUCGGUACCUUUUUACUGAAACAAAAUUCAUAAGAUAUACUCUUCACGAAGCUUUUUUUGCUGUAAUUUUAAGUUGAAAAUAACUCCUUAAAAUAAUAAUAAAAAUAUCAGACAAGUCCUUUGACUUGAGAAAGAAACGUUCAAGCUAGGCUGAAAAAAAAUACUCCAUCCUUUCCAGUUUAUAUAUUAUGCUUGUGUGUAUCCCUAGAUUGAUAAUUUGACCAACACAAUACAAGUUGUAUAUCCCAAUACUUAUAUAUACCACUAGAAAAUACAUCCUUUCCAUUUGAAGUUUACAAUGAUAUUUUUUGUGAAAUAUAUCUCGCAUCAUGUUGGUCAAAAUUUUAAUCUAGGGAUACACACAUGCCUAAUGAACCGGAAAGGUGGGAGUAUUGGCUUUUAUAUAAAAUUCAACACAAACUUGGCAUAUAAAAGAAAAAUCAUGUCACAUCCAAUAACACCAAUGUCCUUGGAUAAGUUGUUGUAGUCCUGUAGCACUGUAGCGGCUGCACGCAUUUGGUCCCAACAUGCUACGCGAUAGCACCGCCCGAGUCUGCAAUGAACACACAUAAGCCUUAGAAAGAGAAAUGUUUGACCGCUAGCUCCCAUCCUUUGUAAUGGAAGGCCAUCGUGACAUGCUUUAUUUCAUGAGAUAAUAGUUACAUCAUUAUGAGUUUACUCAAGAUAAAACUAGGCGCGUCAUCACCCAAUUACAAGAUGAAUUAGAAGUAUAACUAUUUCUAGUAAUAUCAUGAGCCUGAGCACGUCGGUGCCGCCCAUCCUUCCAGCCAACCUCCCCACCGGACAUCCCCUGUGCCGCCCCACAUUGGCCGCCGGCACAGAACCAUGCAAAGCCACCAACAAAGACCCACCCACCGGCGAGGGGGACCCCAUGGACCACCGCCCACCGCCAAGAAAGCUCACCGGGGAGUCCAUCCGCGAUGCCGCCGACGUCCAGCUGCCAAAGCACAUGGAGACCAGCCAGCACACCCACCUGCCACCAUCGUUGUGCCUCCACCACCACCAACUACGGCCACAGCAAGGGCGGGCGCCCGCAGCUUGCGGCAGCGCCAACAAUUCGAAAUCUCCGUAUUAAUCAAACACCAACAUAGAGAACCACUAAAAAUGGAAAAUAAAAUCCAAUCAUCAUGGAAUCCUUCAUCUUCUCCAUUCCACACAAGACGAUGGGACGCUGACAUUGUUGUGGCUAGAGUUCUGCUCAAUCACUAGAACAAAAAAUUAGUAUACACGUAGGCGGGCGAAAAGUCACCGAUCUCUGCCAGGAAGUGUCAGCGGCGCCGAUUCCUAAGGAUCCACCGCCUGGAGAAGAAGACGGUGUUGAGAGGAUCAUACCUAGAAGACUGCAUGCGUUGGCUAGCUAACUAGAGCAACACCGUUACCGAAAAAAUAUCACCGACCCAAUGAAGAUACAACCAACUCCCAUAUUUCGAUGGAGAAAGGCAAACUUGUUCCUCCAAUCUCGCCGCUAGAUCCGACAACGCAUGUGCCAUUGAAGGUAGAUAAUUCAGAGGGGUCCUUAUUAGACACCGCCGCCACGACCGCUACAUGGGCCGAAGCUGCGAACAAUGAAGUCUUAACUGUCCACCCAAUCAUGUUGCUGGACCAGAUAUCGCAUGAACUGCCGGUUGGAGAAUAAAUUGACGAAACUAUUAUUGCACUCCGUUGACAUCACUUCCGGAAGGGCCAAAGUUUCCUGACAAGGGAGAUCUACCUAAUGCACCAAAACCGGAAAAGGAUGGAGGAGGUGUCCAGGGAUCUAGCGACGAAGGAGGACUGGAGGAGUGGCGACGAAGGAGGGACCCUAGGUCGCUCUUUCUUGGGUUACGGGCUGUGUGGGUAAGCUUUACUUCUGCCCCGCUCACUUGAAUCUUAUGGAAUUGGAAAACAUAGGAAUUGGUACAGGUGGGUGUUUGAUAUCAGCAUAUAUCAUAAAACCAUGGAAUUCUUUUCAAGAGCUCGGACCUCAUAGAUAAAUUUCCUAUGAAAUAGACUAGGAAAAAAAUACACAACAAUGAUUCCUAAGAAUUGCAGUCCUGCAAAUCAAACAGACAUCACGGGCAAAAAAUAGAAAUCCAAACAAUUCGGUGAAUCAAAGGAGACAUGAAAAUGUUUCGCCAAUGACUUUGCGCUCGCUACUGGUCUUAGUAUCAAAAUUUGUCGAAGUCAACCUUCGUUUCCCUUCAUGUAGAUCAAUGAAACGCCACCACCAUUACUAAUAUCCUAGAUUGCACCCCCCCCCCUCCCCCCUCCUUCCUACAAAUUUACCUCAGACUGACACUAUCCCCCGCAUGUCCGCCACUGAAUGCUUUUCUCCCAAUCUUAGAACGUUGUAGAAAAUUUCUUGCUGGUUGCCGUGCCAAACUACUAUCAAAAGGCGAUCAACUAAUACUUCUAACCAUCGUAGUCAACUCUCUUUAGACCUACUUUGUAUCUGUUUUUUAAGUUCCAAAAAAGGUUAAUGUUAAAUGUUAAAUGCACCCGAGUCUCCUAGCUAGUUAAUGUUUAAUGUUCUGUUAGAUUUCCGGAUUAAUGAUGUGCAUAUCCCAUUCCGUGGUGGCGUUUGGUUGCUAUGUUAUUAGACAGAUGGAGUAAAAACAACAUGCAAUAUACAUAUAACAUCUGGUUGCUAUGUUAUAGACCUUUUUAAGUGUAGACCAUUAUACAAAGUUUUUUUUUUCUAUCAGAUAAAGUGUUGUAGUCAUACAAAUUUGGUUACAGCUAUCUCUUAAAAUUUCAGAUUUAUAUGCUUUGAGAACACGAAGUGCUUGUUUCAAGAUAAAAAAGUUUGAAUAAACAAAAGUUAAAUAAAACAUAGUAUACCUACAAUAUUUAUAAAAAGAUCCCAGGAAAAACAAUCAAGGGGGCGUUGGUUCGUGCACAUAAUAUGUGAGAAGCGUUCAACGAGGUAUAUAUUCAAUAUUCUAGUAAUACCUAGGGAAAGACAAAUGAUGCCAGACAAGAGCCAUGUGUGACCUCUACUCUAGGCGGUGUUAAUGCGUGACCGAGUUUCCAUGCAGGUGCAAGUCAAGUCAACCACCCACGUUCGCACUAUUUCGAGGUCAACUCAAUUAGUCAACCAUCACCUUCACUAUAAGUUGAGCUCAUGAGAUAUAAUCGAGAGAAAGCUUCGUGUGUCAAUAGUAGCUAUGAAACUACUCAAGAUCAUUGUCGCCUUGGCCAUCUUAGAUGCUUUGUCUAUCUCGAACAUGUCGUCGCGGGUUAGUGUGCUAGGGAAGCCACCAAAGCAAGCGCCUAAACGGUCGAGGAUAAUGCCUCCGCCACCAAAGCCAUCCCGAGCUAGGGCCUCCGUAGUGCCAAUGAGACCACCUCCACCACCAACACAAAAGAGUGGAAUGCAGCAAUUGUGCUCACCGCCACCACCGAUGAAAAAGAGCAAAGUGCACCCAAUGCCCUCCAUGCCACCACCUCCACCACCAGUGCAGAAGAGUGUACCGUUGCCACCGCGCUUGCCGUCGCCUCAACCGCCAAUGCAAAAGAGCAUAGCUCGGCCAAUGCUCUUGCCGUCACCCCCACCACCGGCGAAGAAGAGCAUAGCUCGGUCAUUGCGCCCACCGCCGCCUCCGUCAAAAAUAACAUAUCGUUAGAGUGUGUCGUCAUUGGACACCGCUUUUUCCUAUGAGGCACCAUUUUAGCUCACUAGCUUUUAAGUUUUCAUAUUCUUAAUCUUGUGGUACCCAUUUAGCGUAGUAGACCCGAAAACAGAUUGUUGUUGCUUCAUCAAAUAGUGUUUCUUUAUGUCGAGAAUUGGUACCUGUUUGUUCAGUUUGUGUCACAAGUUAAAUAGACUGAAUAGGCUAGGUCAUAUGAUAUUUUGAUUUGGCCACAAGAAACCUUUUUAGGCCAAAGCAAACCUCGUGUAGAAGAGCAUGAGUGCAGCCCGCUCACUGUCACCUCCACCACCAACGAGGCAGUACAUAUCGCGGCCAUUGCGCUCACCCGCCUCUACUACCAACAACAUUUCAUCAGAUUGGCACGCAAUCAGUAGACCAUUAGACCUUAAGCUCCCUUAUGCUUAACCUUGUUGUACUAUUAUCGCAAUGUUGCUUCUUAGAAUCAAAUAAAGUUCCGUUUGCAUGCCGAGAUUCUGUUCAUUAGUUUACAAAUCCCGUGCACUGAUUACUGAAACAUGCUGAAGUCUUAUCAUGUUCUGAUUUGGAAGCAAUGGAUAGUUGUGGCCGGCUGUAACUAGGCCUGAAAUUGCUCCCAACACUUGUUUCUUUUUCCAGGGAAAGCCAAGGGAGCAUUUCGGUUCGUGCCCAUAAUCCCAUAUAUGAGAGGGAGAAGAUUGAUCAAUGAGACGUAGCUUCAAUAUUCUAAUACUUACGACGGUAAAAGUGCAUAUGGUGAUUAGACAUUUAUAGGCUUCCUAACUGUUGCAUUUUUUUUUUCGAAAAGGGGGAAUACCCCGGCCUCUGCAUCUGGACGAUGCAUACGGCCACUUUAUUGAUUAUUAACACAAGACCUUACAAAGUCGUACAACAGUAAGACCAAAGCCAACAUCUUUUGCAUAACUUGGCCCAUCCUUCAUCAUGAUAUUUCGAAUGGAAGAUAUUCAAACGUGGCUCAACGGCAGGUUUGACGGCCCCGUGGAGUGCAGUCUUGCUAAAUCACAGCCAGACUCUAUAACAUGACAAAUAAUUAAUUCAAAUCUAGAGUUAUGUCCUCAUCUCCGUCACAAAUACAUUUACGUCGGUUUAUAAUACUUCGAAUAAUCGAAUCCAACCUAGUGUUCCAUCCAAAUGUACUCCUUCUGUAAACUUUUAAAAUAGUGCUCUAAAUGAUCUUAUAAAAGUUAACAGAGGGAGUAGCUAACAAUUCUGUUGCUCGCAUAAGACCCCUUUUCGUUCCUACAUGUUUUUCUAGAUAUCCGCCACUACAACCACACUCUAAUGCGGGUGACUCGGGCGGCUCUUCAAACCCUAGCCGCCAGGGUCACCUCCACCUCUCUUCCUUCCCUCUGCCACUGCCGGAGGACGCCGCUGGGCUAAGCCCGGGGGCCGACGGCGGUGGCGGAGGCUCUCCUCCCUGGAUCGCGUCGGAGGUGGUGGGGCGGGACCUCCACGCGCGUAACGGCGCAACGCAAUCUGAUCCACGGUGGCGUGACGGCGUGCCGGGUGGAGGCCUUGGGCGGCGGCGUGGUUGCCUGGUGGUGAGCCGGCGGCGGCGGCGUGAAGAGGGCGCUGAGGAGGUCCGGGCUGGCCAGGUCAGGAUCCUGGGGCUUCCCGCGGCGGCAUGGCGUUGUGCACAAUAUCCAAGGCGGAUCUGCGUUGAUGAUCUCGUGGUUUUGCCAUGGAUUGGUUCGAUCAGAGACGGUGAUGAGCGUGCGGGGUCGAUCUCGGCGCCUCUCGCGGUUUGGCGAGGUGGGGUGGGAGUUCUCCUCCCAGCUCCAGUGGUGGCGCAUACAGGCAGUGGCCGGUGUGCCAGGGCUCCUACGGUGGCACUGCUGUUGCGGUUGGUCGCCGGAUCUAGGCGCCUAGAUCUGGGGCUUUGAAGGCGGUCGAGACAGUGCAUAGGUUGUCGGAUGGAUUUCUUGGGACGGAUCCGAGUGAAAACUUGGUCUUUGGUCGUUGGCCGGAGCCGGUGAUGACGAUGCCCUUAUCAUCGUUUCCUUCAUGAAGGCAUCAUCAAGGUACAAAUCCCGAACCCAUCCAAUACCUCCGGGGGGAACCCUAGAUCAGUUGAUCGGAUGACGGCGGCAUUCAUGUGUCGUUACCCCCUUGGGGGCGGCAUUCUUGGAGAUGCACUCGGGCUCGAGGGACCAGCGGAUGGCUUCUUCGGUGGAGCGGUGUUUCUUUCUACAUAUUCAUGGCGGCGGCUCUUGGCGGCAUGGAGCAGCGGAGGCUUGGCGUCAGAUGUGUGGUGAUGGACACGCGUAGGAGGUCAACGCUGUCUGGCGUCGUGGUGGCGUCGGCGGCAGCUAGACCGGCCAAGGUCGAUGCAGCAGUACAACUGUGAAGAUGGAUUGGUGGCAGGUGGUUGCGGCGUCCUGAUACCCGGCAGGCGUCCUGGUUGAGGAGCAUGCCGGACUGGUGGGUGCCCAUACCCGGCAGGCGUCCUGGUUGGGACCCCAGGUCUUAGGUGUUAGGUUUGGCUGCGAGGUAUGUUUGGUAUUAGACCCAGACUAUCAUCGCCCCUUCAUCAACUGGAUAGGAGUAGCGACAAAUGUUGCUUAGAUGGUGGCUUUGGUCUUACUGUUGUACGACUUCGUAAGGUCUUGUGUUAAUAAUUAAUAAAAUGGUUGUAUGCAUUGUCCAGAUGCAGAGGCCGGGGGGUAUUCCUUCUUUUCUAAAAAAAAAAAACCACAAUCUAAAACAAACACAGACGCACAUACACGGUAAUAUAUAAACUUUGGUCAGAAAGUGCGUCUGGUUCUUGCCGCCUACUUCACAAAACAUUUCAUCUCCUUGGACUUGAGAGCUAGCUUAAUUCUCUUCUUCUUCUUGUAGUAUCGUAGCUGUUUUAGCUUUUCAUCCAGCUCAGACCUGACGCUCUUGAUCUCCCAUGAAAUCGUGCAAGAACUGUCCUCACGGAGCAUCGUAAACUUUUAUUAUCACUGUUCUCUUCCCACUUCAAGCUAAUUCUACCCAAACAUUCCGACCUGCAGCUGUAGAGAAGUCGCUCAGGCACUCAAAAAUAAACCAGGCUGAGACAUAUAUGAGAUAUGACACAAAUAUUUUUCGCUGGCGCAUAGGGGUGUUGUCCGCGUCUAGUUAGUUUAUACUCCCUCCCGUUUAAAAUAUAAUCUGUACUACUCUUUUAAAAAGUCAAACUUUGACCAGUUUUAUGGAGAAAAUAUCAUGGUCCACAAUACCAAACCAUUAUACUUUGCAAGAAUCAACGGCCCAAAAGAGCGUGACUCAUAAACAAAUUAUAGGGUUAGCCAGCUUGUUUCCGUAUUCGUUCUUUGGAUUUAGUUCCCGUCGUGUUCCGGUUUCGUUUUUUUGAUUAUUUUGUUGGUCUUUUCAUUGUUUUCAUCUUUGUUCUAUUUUCUAUUUUUUUUUCUCUUUUCCCUUUUAUUGACCUUUCGAUUUUCCAUUCUUUUGUUUUAUUUUUUACUUUUUAUUUGUUCACUUUUCCACCACAUUUUGUUCUUCUUUUUCUUAUUUCAUUUUAUAUUCAUUUUUAUUUUAUUUCUCUUUGUCCCUGUUUCGCUUUUCUUGUUCUUUUGUUUCCAUUUCCUCCUUUUCUAUUUCUUCACUUAUUUCAUUUUCAUUUUUUGGUUUCUUUUGUAGAGAUUAAUUUUGUUAAAUACUUUGUUGGGGUAUUAAAAAUGUUCUUUAUGGAUAAAAAGAGUGUUCAAUGUAUUAUUAUAAAGUUAUCACACCCAUAAAAAAUCUUACCAUAUUUUAAAAAAUCAUUCUAGCAUUUAAUAAAUAUCCAAUGCGUAUAGAACACAUUCUUCAUGUAUUCAGUAAAAUAUCAUAAUCUGUUUAAAAAAUAUUCAUCUUGUAUUAAACAAUAUUGAUCAUGAACAAAAAAUAUAUUCAUCAUUUUAUUAAAAAAAGUCAUCAUGUUUUAAAAAAUUCAUCUUAUAUUUGAAAAAUCGUAGUGUAUUAAAAAGAAGAUCUCUGACACAACUAAAAAUUAUAUCAAAGUUCUUUGAAUUUAUUGUCUCUGGCUCCAUCCUUUGCACUUUCACUUUUCCUCUAGCCUCGCUGCAAAAGCUAUAGAACGCCAAAUUUGCGCAAGCUGGACUAACACCAUAGAUUUUGAAAAGCCGCAUGAGCCGCUCGUCCCAAUGGAUAAGAACAUAAAAUCAUUGAAACACAUUGUGGUCGGGGACACACACAUUGCAUGGAAGGUUGUCGGAGCGCUGUUGUGUUGCUAUAUUGUCGAGGAAGAGGUCAAGAACACAAAAGAGUGAAAACAGGAUAACCACUUUCUGCCAUUACCACUUUGACGGGACGAAGCGUCGGAUGAUAAUCCACAGAUCUAAUACUUAUGAUCCACGGGACAACACCACCACAAACUCCUUGAUGUGUGCCUGUCAGCCAUGUUAACCACACUUGGACGGGGACAGAGUCAUGCGAUGUUGCCUCCACCGUUGAGUCGCCAUAGACAUGGACACACAAAACUCACCGGAGAAAAACUUAAACUACACUCCAACUUUGUUCUGUGUUUUCCUCGUCUCCUCGUGGUGAAGUGCCCACCGAAGACAAGGGAGGCCGCUAGGCACUUGCGGAAAAAUGGAGCUUCUCUUCCUUAUGCCUUGUUUUCAGAAAGGUCUCUUCCUUGAGGCUAUAGGGUCCAAUCCAACCAUAUCCUUUUUUUUAAGCAAUGCAACCAUAUCCUAGGAUGCUGGGCUUCACAGUCGUGGAAAAGCAGUGCUCCGAUGUAUACUCUUGGCCCAUGGAAAACACAACCCGGCCCAGACCUGGUUAGAUAUACUUGGACAAGGCCCAGUUGCGGUCCAUCGAGGCGGCCACGAGAACUGGGUGACGAACAAAGCCCCUGCAGCUCGUCUCUCGUCUUCUCCGCCGCCAUGGCCUCCGACCUCGGGCAACCGUCGCCGGCGAAACGCCCGCCGACGGCGCCCACCACGAUUACCGCUAUCGGCGAAGACCUCCUUUGCGAGAUCUUCCUCCUCCUUCCCUCCCUCCCGAGCCUCGUCCGCGCCGCCCUCGCCUGCCGCACCUUCCUCCACGCCGUCCGUUCGUCCCCCGCCUUCCGCCGCCGAUUCCGGGCACUCCACCCGCCGCAGAUCCUUGGCUUCUUUUGCGACCCGGGCCGCGAAGCCGUCCCUCCCUUCGUCCCCCUCCGCAGCCGCUCCGACCCGGACAUCGCCGCCGCCGUCCGCGGCGCCGAUUUCCUCCUCACCCGGAUCCCAGAAGACAGCGGCGAUUCCACCCUCGGGUGGGAGCUGCAGAGCUUCCACGGCGGCUACGUCGUCCUCGUCAACAACGCCACCGACCAGAUCGCUGCCUACAACCCCCUCACGCAGGCACUGCAUCUCAUCCCCCACCCACCCGAAGAUAUCAUCUUCUCCAUCUCCCCUGAGUUCCACAUCCUCUUGUCGGAAGAGGACCAGAGGGUGUUCCGUAUGGUCUGUGUCCAACACCAGGACACGCCGAGCCUCGCCGUCUUCUCAACCGCGACCAGGGAGUGGCAGGUUUUGCCGUGGGUGGAGACCCCGCCACAACCUGAAGGCGACAUCCGCUUGUUCUACCAUGGCACGCAGCUGAAUGGAUUUGUUUACUGGAAACACGCGAGCCAAGCCUAUGUGCUCGCUCUCAACACCGCGACAAUGCAAUUCUCUAGAGUGAACUUGCCGCAUUUCUUGGCAGAGAUAGAUCAUAUGCUGUUUAGGCUUGGUCAGACCAAGGAUGGGAAGCUCUGUAUGGUUGCAGCAGAUGACUCUGACCCAAAGAUAGGAACGCUUGUUGUUCGUGUCUGGGGAGCCGAUGAUGACGGUGUUGAGAAGUGGAUGCUGGAAGAUACUUUUUCACUGAGUAAAUUUGUUGAUGUCACCAAGUCUUCAACAGAGUAUGAUACCACGGUGCAGAUUGAGGCAUUCGUCGAUGGCUUUCUGUACCUCUGUAUUAAGUAUGGUGAGCAUACCGAGUCUCUGGUAUCCCUCUGCCUGGAAACAGGAAAGCUAAACAAGAUAUUUGAUGAUACAUAUACAAGCCCUGCUCAUCCCUACAUCAUGUCAUGGCCUCCUUCUUUGGUUUGCAACAAGGUGAGCCCGUGCUUGAAUACCCCGGUAAAGUAUUUUCAAAUGUUUGGUCCUUAGGUUUUGUUUAAGUUACUUCCGAGCAUUGGAUUAUUGUAUAGUCGUCAUAAUCUGCCAUUAAUUCCACAUUUUACAGUUUUAGUCAACUGUUUUUUAUUUAUUCCUUACUCAGCAAUUGCUUGAUACUUAUUCUUGAUAAAGUAGCACACUAUCAUGUCUGAUUCGCAUAACUUAUACUACAUGAAUUCAGUUGCAGAUUUUAUAUUAGUAGGAGGGUGCAAUAUUUAGCAUGUGCUUGUGCAGAUUUUAUGAUAGCACAAGGACAUAGAGUGCUUGUCAUGCUCCCCAUCGUUUGCCAUUUGGGCAGAUCAUAUGAGAUGGCAUUGGUGUUAUUAAUCUUAUUUCAUUACCAUUUACUCUUGUGGAUGCUAAACUUGUCUAUCGUUGGAAUCUAUACUCCAUAGCAUUGCAUGAUUUGUUUGUCAAAAACUUGAAUCCUUUACUUAUGCUCAAAUAUCCUUUUUGGGUGUUAGGAGGAUUCACAAACCAAGAUUACUGGAGGCAGUGUUGAGGACGCUGGUUCUGUGGGCACAAAAGAAACUCCCUCUGUUUUAGUCACAGCGCCACAAUCGCACAAAAUUGAUUGAUGACGAUGAAGCCAAAGUCAUGGAGAUAGAGUUUUUUUUACUUUGUAUUGGGGAUGAUAAAAACUCAGCAAGCAAAAUCACUGCAUAUGCAUAACUGACAACUGUGAGCGAUCGUAAGUUGAGAAUAAGUGUUGGCUUAGAUAGCUUUAGGGAAAAGGCAGAAAGAGAGUUGAUGGAAUUUAUGCUAUCUUGCUGUGGAUUGAGUUUCAGGCCCUUUUAUACUUAUCUUGACUAGUCGUCUGUCAUGGGUGCACUAUUUUUAUUCCUAUCUUGACUAGUUGUCCAUCAUGGGUCCACUAUUUAUAUCCUUAUCAAUCCAGUAAUUUUUAUCAUUUGACUCUAACCCCACCUUCCAUUAUGGAACUCAGUUUCCUUUUGAUUGUUUUCUUUUUGCUUGUUUUUGGAUGUUCUAGAGAGUUAUUUAAGUUCAGCAGUAAUUAUUAGGGGUUUACUACAAAGAGAAAUGAGCUUAGUUUGCGUAGAUUUGCUUUGUCAUGUCCGCUUGCAUACGUUAAGGACUACUCCCUUUGUAAACUAUUAUAAGCUGUUUUAGACCUAAAACGUCUUAAAUAGUUUGCAGAGGUAGUACUAACAUGCACUCCCUCCGCCCUAAAAAUAAGUGUCACUGACUUUUACAAAUUAAAUCAGCGACACUUAUUUUCGGCAGCGAGGAGAGGAAGGGGAAAGGGAUACCCAUAGGGUGGCAGUGCUAGGGUUCUCCCAUGGCGCUCGGGGAGCGCCAUUUUUUUUUCUUUUUGGCAAAGUGGAUGUGGGUAAAAUCAUGUACGGUUAGACUAAAUAUUGUGCCACUGCGGUUGUCCGACAUCAAAAUAAAAGGACCGGCUUUAACCAGCAAACAUUCCUUGGGGAGGAUGACAAUUGCAAACGGUUCGCAUGACGAUUUAUGUUGAUUGAGGAUGAUGAAUUUAAUUACCAAACAUGACAAAUCCGUCUCGGUUCAGUUUUUUGUUAGUAUUUGCCGUACUUGCGAACUAAAAUAUUUCAUCCUCGCAACAAUAUAAAUUGUCAUAAAAUAUAUUUGAUUUGUUAUCUCCUCCUAAGGAACAUCAGCUGAAUAGCAUUACAAAAAUAAAAUUGCCGUUGGUUCAGGCCUGUGUACUUCCACCGAGAGGUGAAAGAAGUAUUGAAAGUACUAGAUUGUUACUACUUACUAUUAUCUCCGUUCCUAAAUAUAAGUCUUUUUAUAGAUUUCACUAGACUACAUACGGAGUAAAACGAGUGAAUCUACACUUUAAAACAUGUCUAUAUACAUCGCUAAGUAGUUUGUAGUGAAAUCUCUAAAAGGACUUGUAUUUAGGAACGGAGGGAGUACAACUUUAACCAGUGUAGAAUUGAGGAUUGAGGCAACAAAGAGAUGACCAAUGUGCGUUGAUUGAAAAAUCUUCAAUUGGUGAAAGAAUGAUGUCCCUUGGUAAAAAGAUAUAUUUUCGUGGAAAGACAUCUCCCUUGCUAAUUAAUAUUUUUGAAUGGUGAAAUUGAAUUAACUAUGCGAAAAAUAAUGUAGCACACCAUUCAAUUUAUUUAUGCACUUCAAUGAUAUCUAAACUUCACAGCUCAUUGACUAAAAUUGCAAUAAAUUAAUAAAAGUUGAAAACAAAUUUACAGAACAUAUAAUAAUAUUGCAACAAAGCGGGGGCUUUAUACUAGUUUAUUCUAAACUGACCCGCAAUAUAGCAUACAUGUUAAGCCACAUCACGCUACAAAGAACCGUUACUUAAUUAUAUAUCAAGUACUCCCUCUGUUCGGAAUUACUUGUCGCAGAAAUGGAUGUAUCUAGAUGUAUUUUAGUUCUAUAUACAUCCAUUUCCGAGACAAGAAAUUCCGAACGGAGGGAGUAUUAAUCAAGUCCUUUCGCCAAAAAGAGGAUCAAUCAAGCCCACUAAAUCUUGAAAGUUGGAGCAUACAAACAUUCAUAUCCUUUGGUUAAUAGCCAUCACCUUUUCGGAAAUGAUGUCUCUCCAUGGAAAGACACGUUCCUUAGCUGAAAGAUGACAGUUGGCGCAUGUGAACAGUCACACCCUUUGGAUCAAAAGACACAUUGUCUUGGUGAAAAAAACCUCUUCGUGGAAAGACACACCCCUUUGGUGAGAUGAUGCCUCUUCAUGGAAAGACAUGUUAGUUUAAAAGAUACUCCCUCCGUCCGAAAAUACUUGUCGGAGGAAUGGAUGUAUCUAGAUGCAAUUUGGUUCUAGAUACAUCCAUUUUCAUCCAUUUCUCCGACAAGUAUUUCCGGACGGAGGGAGUACAUAAUAAAAUUUGAAUUACAAAUCACUAAACUUAGUUUGUAACUUUCCAGAAUAUGUAACCAUCAAAAUUGUCUCAAUCGUGCCAACAACUCAUGUAAUAAACUUUACCAUUUUAAAUUUGUAUACGUUUCAAUACAUUUGAACUUUAUGGCAGAAAAAACAAAAAUAUUUGAGAAUUGCAACACUACCCUCCCCAUGCACUUCUAUUGCCCAGCUUAGGGCAAGCAUAGACCCUCCCCCUACCCCAGCUGGCUGCGCCGACAUGCAUACCAGGCCUCCUACCCCCGCUCUUAUUGUCCCGUCAAGUAUAGCCCCCUUACCUACGCCGCGGGCAUAGCUCCCCCCUAUACUCACCCCCUUAGACCUAGGUUGCAGCCAAUACUGCUCCCUAUCUCAACUCUACUGCUACUUGCUGAUAGCCUUGCUGUGGAAAACACUUUUAAAUCGAUGCUAGCCGUUGUGAAUCGACGAUGUGAGACUAAAAAUGAUGCACCAAUAUCGGCCUUACCCAUAAAAGACAGGAGUCGGACGUGUUGCCUCCUAGGGCACCCGCACCAGCCCGUCGUCGUUGCACGAGUCUGCGACGUGGUGAGCGACAGAGACGUGUGUCAACGCGUGCCUCCUCCUCUCCUCAUGGCGGCUGCCGGUGGUAGUCGCCAUCUCCCUCUUCCCCUUCUCACUGACCCUACACUCCGUUUGGCGGUGGUGCGAAGAGACGGUUUUUUUAAGGCAAAGAGAGAGCUGCAAUGGCUUUUUUUUUUUGAGACAAGAGAGCUGCAAUGGCUGGAUGCUGGCUCACAGAAAAUACAGCCCAUCCCAGGCCCAUGCUAUUAUAGCGUAGUCCAGGCCCAACUAUUGCCCAUCGCGGUCGAGUGAACUGGGACACGCACUCCCCCCUGCCGCUCGUCCCUCAUCUUCUCCGCCGCCAUGGCCUCCGAGCUCGGGCAACCGCCGCCGGCGAAAUGCCCACCGACGGCGCCCACCACGAUUACGGACAUCGGCAACGACCUCCUUUGCGAGAUCUUCCUCCUCCUUCCCUCCCUCCCGAGCCUCGUUCGCGCCGCCCUCGCCUGCCGCACCUUCCUCCACGCCGUCCGUUCGUCCCCCGCCUUCCGCGGCCGAUUCCGGGCGCUCCACCAUCCGCAGCUCCUUGGCUUCUUCCGUGAAACCGGCCGCGAAGCCAUCCCCCCCUUCGUCCCCAUCCGCAGAAGCUCCGACCCCGACCUCACCGCCGCCGUCAGCGACUCAGCGGUUCCGAUUUCUUCCUCUUCCGCCUCCCUGAAGACAGCGAUUCCACCCCCGGCUGGGAGCUGAAGCCCUGCCACGACGGCUACCUCGUCCUCGUCAACUAUGUCACCGAGCAGAUCGCCGCCUACAACCCCCUGACGCAGGCACUGCAUCUCUUCCCCUACCCGCCCGAGGAGAUCCUCAGCAAGGAUCUGUCCCCCCAGCCGCCCAAGGAGAUCCGCAUCGAAGUCCUUGAGUUCCAUAUCCUCUUCUCCGAGGAGGACCAGCGGGUGUUCCGAAUGGCUUGUGUCCAAUUUCGAAACAUUUGUAAGGUGCCGGUGUGUGUCUCUGUCUUCUCACCGGCCACUAGGGAGUGGCAGGUUUUGCCAUGGCCGGCUCCACCACAGCCUGUGGAUGACGACGGAGACAACUGGUUCGGCUUUUACCCUGGUAUGCAGAUGAAUGGAUUCGUUUAUUGGAAACACAAGAGUAAAGCCUAUCUACUUGUUCUCAACAACGAGACACUGCAGUUCUCUAGACUGAAUUUGCCGCAUUUCUGGGGAAAGAUAGACCCUACGCUGUUUAAGCUUGGUCAGACCAAGGAUGGGAAGCUCUGCAUGGUUGCUGCAGAUGACUCUGACGCAAAUAUAGGAACGCUUGUUGUUCAUGUUUGGGGAGCUGAUGAUGACGGUGUUGAGAAAUGGAUGCCGGCAGAUACUUAUCCACUGAGUACAUUUAUUGACGCCGAUAAGUAUUUAACAGAGGAUGAUACCACGGUGCAGAUUGAGGCCGUUAUCGAUGGCUUUCUGUACCUGUCUAUUAAGUAUGAUGAUUAUACCGAGUCCCUCGUAUCUUUCUGCCUGGAAACAGCAGAGCUAAACACGCUCUUUGAUGAUACAUAUGCAAGCCCUGCUUAUCCCUACAUCAUGUCAUGGCCUCCUUCUUUGGUAUGCAACAAGGUGAGGCCGUGAUUGAACACCCCAGUGAAGUAUUUUCAGAUGUUUGCUCCUUAGAUUUUGUUGAGUUACUUGCGAGCAUUGGAUUAUUGUAUAGUCGUGAUAAUCUUCCGUUAAUUCCACAUUUUGCAAUUCUGGCCAACUGUUUUUACUUAUUCCUUAUACAUCAAUUGCUUGAUUCUGAUUCUUGAUAAGGUGGCAGACUAUCAUGACUGAUUCAUGUAACUUAUAGUACAUGAGUUCAAUUACAGAUUUUAUAUUAGUAGAGGAGGUUGCAACGUUUAGCAUUUGUUUGUGCAGAUUUUAUGGUAGCACAAGGAUAUAGAGUGCUUGUCAUGCUCCCUAUCAUGUGCCAUUUGGGCAGAUCAUAUAAGAUGACAUUGGUGUAAUGAAUCUUCUUUCAUUUUCAUUUACUCUUGUGGAUGCUAAAGUUGUCUAUCAUUGGAAUCUAAACUCUAUAGCAUUGCACGGUUUGUUUGCCAAAAUCUUGAAUCCUUUACUUACUCUCAAAUAUCCUUUUGUGCCUUAGGAGGAUUCACAAACCAAGAUUACUGGAUGCAGUGUAGAGGAUGUUGGUUCUGUGGGCACAGAAGAAACUCCCUCUGCUCUUGUCAGAGCGCCACAAUCACACAAAUUUGAUUGACGACGAUGAAGCAAAAGUCAUGGAGAUAGAGGUCUUCUUUACUUUGUAUUGAGGAUGAUAACAACUCUGGCAGGCAAAAUCACUACAUAUGAUGCAUAACUGACAACCGUGAGCGAUCUUAUAUUGGGAAUAAGUGCCGACUUAGAUAGCUUUAGGAAAAAGAAAGAGAGUUGACGGGAAAUGUGCGAGCGGAAGUUCUCGAUAUCUUGUCUAUUGCCAAAGCUUUGCCGGUUGAAAACUAGCCUCUCUGGAGUGAUCAUGCUGUAAUUUUUCUCAUGAGAUGAGCUUUUGUAGAAACGUGUUGGUACUUCAGUUUUUGGUGCUGUGAAAAUGUCAUGUUUUAGUUUCCUAUACUUGUAUAUAUCAAGGGAACACUGGAGCCAUAAGGUAAUUCUAAUGAAUGUAAGUAUGUAACCCAAUGAGCGUAAAUAGCAGUAUGUCUAGUUAGCAAGAGCUAGGCCAUGGAAUUUAUGCUAUCUUGCUGUGGGUUGAGUUUCAGGCCCUUCUAUUCUUAUCUUGAGUAUUCAUCCAUCAUGGGUGCACUAUUUAUAUUCUUAUCAAUCCAGUAUCACUAGUAGAAAAGGGGGCAAUGGUCUAGGCCGGUCCAGCCCAUUAGUCCCGGUUCAAUCCAGAACCGGGACCAAUGGGGGCAUUGGACCCGGUUCUUGAGCCCCGGGGGCCGGCCGGGCCACGUGGGCCAUUGGUCCCGGUUCGUCUGGACCUUUUGGUCCCGGUUGGUGGGACGAACCGGGACCAAUGGUCCUCGCUCCUGGCCCACCACCAUUGGUCCCGGUUGGUGGCACGAACCGGGACCAAAGGCCAACCUUUAGUCCCGGUUCGUGCUAUCAAGCGGGACCAAUGGUGGUGCCUAUAUAUACCCCCUGCUCGUGAGCAGAGCACUCCCAGUGCUCUGUUUUUCGUGGCCGGCGAGGGGAGAGCUUUGUGGUGCUCUAGCUCACCUCCUAUGCACACGAGGUGUUCGAUGGAAUGCCCGAGCCACACUACUUAAGCUUUCUCCCCUCCAAGCUCGACCGCCAAGCUUCAUUUUCCUCAAUAUUUGUCUAGAUUUAGCGGUCCGUCACGCCUCAUCCCCGUCUUCACCGUCGUCGAUCACCCGCGCCGAUCUCAUCGCCGGCACCACCGUGGUGAGCCUCUUGUUCUUAUCUUCUUUCUGAAAGGAAAAAUAUUCUUACUUGUAUGUUUAGAUAGAUACUUGUAUUAUUUUCUUACUUUUAUUAUUGCAUCUUAUAUAGUGCGAUGGUUUUGGUAACCGCCCUCGUCGGCCCUCGUCCUGUCUAUGAUUCAGAUGUGGUAUAUAUUAUCUUUUCAUAACUAUUGGUUCAUUUAUUGUUUAUGACAAUUAUGCCGACCAACGUGACAUAGAUUUUAUUUAUCUAGGAGGUUGUUGAACCGGAAAUUCCAACCGACCCUAUUGUCGAGAGGUUAAAUUUAGUUGAAGAAAAAAACAAUUUCUUGAAGCAAAAAAUUAGAAAAAUUGAGGAGGAGAAGAUGAUAUUGGAGUUGCAUGUUGCGGAUGUCGUCGAUCAUCACAAGAUCAAGAUGGAUGCAAUGCGCUUGAAGAUUAGAAAGAUUAGAAAAUAUGCCAUUCAUACCGAGGCUUGGUAUCAUUAUGUCGUUGGAUCAGUUGUUACAUUGGUUGCAGUUAUGAUCACAUUUGUUUUCGCAUUGAAAUGUUUUACAUAGUUUCAGUGUAUGGUUUAAUUAAUUUACAUGCUCUGCAGAGCUUUAUGUUGUUAGAUGAGAACUAUGUAUAUACUUUGGUUUUAAUGUGAUGAUGAACUUCUAUUAAUUUGGUCACUUCAUUAUAUAAUGCACGCAGAUGAACCGGCAAUGGAUGUACGGUUCAAGACACACCUCCGAGUACAUUAAGGGCGUGCAUGAUUUUCUCGAAGUGGCUGAGGCAAACAAGCAGAAUGGUUUUAUGUGUUGUCCAUGCCCUAUAUGUGGGAAUACGAAGUCUUACUCUAACCGGAAAAUCCUCCACACCCACCUGCUUUACAAGGGUAUCAUGCCACACUAUAAUGUUUGGACGAGGCACGGAGAAAUAGGGGUUAUGAUGGAAGACGGAGAAGAAGAAGAGUACGAUGACAACUAUGUGCCCCCUGAAUACGGUGAUGCUCCUGAAGAUCAAGAGGAACCAGACGAUGUGCACGAUGAUGCUGCAACGGGCGAAACUGCUGAUGAUCAAGAGGAACCAGACGAUGUGCCCGAUGAUGAUGAUCUCCGCCGGGUCAUUGUCGAUGCAAGGACGCAAUGCGAAAGUCAAAAGGAGAAGCUGAAGUUCGAUCACAUGCUGGAGAACCACAAAAAAGGGUUGUACCCCAAUUGCGAAGAUGGCAACACAAAGCUCGGUACCGUACUGGAAUUGCUGCAGUGGAAGGCAGAGAAUGCUGUGCCUGACAAAGGAUUUGAGAAGCUACUUAAAAUAUUGAAGAAGAAGCUUCCAAAGGAUAACGAAUUGCCCGACAGUACAUACGCAGCAAAGAAGGUCGUAUGCCCUCUAUGAUUGGAGGUGCAGAAGAUACAUGCAUGCCCUAAUGACUGCAUCCUCUACCGCGGUGCGUACAAGGAUCUGAACGCAUGCCCGGUAUGCGGUGCAUUACGGUAUAAGAUCAGACGAGAUGACCCUGGUGAUGUUGACGGCGAGCCCCCCAGGAAGAGGGUUCCUGCGAAGGUGAUGUGGUAUGCUCCUAUAAUACCACGGUUGAAACGUCUGUUCAGAAACGGAGAGCAUGCCAAGUUAAUGCGAUGGCACAGUGAGGACCGUAAGAAAGACGGGAAGUUGAGAGCACCCGCUGACGGGUCGCAGUGGAGAAAAAUCGAGAGAAAGUACUGGGAUGAGUUUGCAAGUGAGCCAAGGAACGUAUGGUUUGCUUUAAGCGUGGAUGGCAUUAAUCCUUUCGGGGAGCAGAGCAGCAAUCACAGCACCUGGCCCAUGACUCUAUGUAUGUAUAACCUUCCUCCUUGGAUGUGCAUGAAGCGAAAGUUCAUUAUGAUGCCAGUUCUCAUCCAAGGCCCUAAGCAACCCGGCAAUGACAUUGAUGUGUACCUAAGGCCAUUAGUUGAAGAACUUUUACAGCUGUGGAAUGGAAAUGGUGUACGUACGUGGGAUGAGCACAAACAGGAGGAAUUUAACCUAAAGGCGUUGCUGUUCGUGACCAUCAACGAUUGGCCCGCUCUCAGUAACCUUUCAGGACAAACAAACAAGGGAUACCACGCAUGCACGCACUGUUUACUUGACACCGAUAGUAUAUACCUGGCAAGCUGCAGGAAGAAUGUGUACCUGGGCCAUCGUCGAUUUCUUCCGACCAACCAUCAAUGUCGAAAGAAAGGCAAGCAUUUCAAAGGCGAGGCAGAUCACCGGAAGAAGCCCGCCAUGCGUACCGGUGAUCAUGUACUUGCUAUGGUCAAUGAUUUACACGUAAUCUUUGAAAAGGGUCCCGGCGGACUAGCUGUUCCGAGUGACGCUGGGGGACACGCACCCAUGUGGAAGAAGAAAUCUAUAUUUUGGGACCUACCCUACUGGAAAGACCUAGAGGUCCGCUCUUCGAUCAACGUGAUGCACGUGACGGAGAACCUUUGCAUGAACCUGCUAGGCUUCUUGGGCGUGUAUGGGAAGACAAAAGAUACAGCUGAGGCAUGGGAGGACCUGCAACGUUUGCACGAAAAAGACGGCAUGCCUCCAAAGAAGUAUGAAGGUCCUGCCAGCUAUGCUCUUACCAAAGAAGAGAAGGAAAUCUUCUUUGAAUGCCUGCUUAGUAUGAAGGUCCCGACUGGCUUCUCGUCGAAUAUAAAAGGAAUAAUAAAUAUGGCAGAGAAAAAGUUUCAGAACCUAAAGUCUCAUGACUGCCAUGUGAUUAUGUCACAACUGCUUCCGGUUGCAUUGAGGGGGCUUCCACCGGAAAACGUCCGAUUAGCCAUUGUGAAGCUAUGUGCAUUCCUCAAUGCAAUCUCUCAGAAGGUGAUCGAUCCAGAAAUCAUACCAAGGCUAAGGAGUGAUGUGGUGCAAUGUCUUGUCAGUUUCGAGCUGGUGUUCCCACCAUCCUUCUUUAAUAUCAUGACGCACGUCCUAGUUCAUCUAGUUGACGAGAUUGUCAUUCUGGGCCCCGUAUUUCUACACAAUAUGUACCCCUUUGAGAGGUUCAUGGGAGUCCUAAAGAAAUAUGUCCGUAACCGCGCUAGGCCAGAAGGAAGCAUCUCCAUGGGCCAUCAAACAGAGGAUGUCAUCGGGUUUUGUGUUGACUUCAUUCCUGGCCUUAAGAAGAUAGGUCUCCCUAAAUCAUGGUAUGAGGGGAGACUGACUGGAAAAGGCACGCUUGGAAGGGACUCAAUAAUAUGCAGGGACAGAUAUUCUUGGUCUCAAGCACACUACACAGUUCUACAGAACUCUACCUUGGUGACCCCGUAUGUCGAUGAACACAAGAACAGUCUGCGCUCCAAACACCCGGAGUAGUGCGACGACUGGAUUACAUGUGAACACAUCAGGACUUUCAGCAGUUGGUUGGAAGCACGUAUCAGAGGUGACAACACUGUUUGUGAUGAGCUGUACUUGUUAUCCAGGGGACCAUCUUUGACUGUAUUGAUUUGGAAAGGAUACGAGAUAAAUGGGAAUACAUUUUACACGAUUGACCAAGAUCAAAAGAGCACCAACCAAAACAGCGGUGUCCGCUUUGAUGUAACAACCGAGAGGGGAAAAGACACAUAUUGUGGUUACAUAGUGGACAUAUGGGAACUUGACUACAGACAUGAUUUUAAGGUGCCUUUGUUUAAGUGCAAAUGGGUCAAUCUGUCAGGAGGCGGGGUACAGGUAGACCCACAAUACGGAAUGACAACAGUGGAUCUGAAAAAUCUUGGGUACACUGACGAACCGUUCGUCCUAGCCAAUGAUGUGGCACAGGUUAUCUAUGUGAAGGACAUGUCUACCAGACCGAGAAAGAGAAAAGAUAAGGAAGCGAAUACAUCAUACGAUGAGCCAAAGCGCCACAUAGUUCUUUCAGGAAAAAGGGACAUCGUGGGAGUGGAGGACAAGACAGACAUGUCUGAAGAUUAUGAAAAGUUUCAUGAAAUUCCUCCCUUUAAAGUCAAGGCUGACCCCAGCAUCCUGAUAAACGAUGAAGAUUAUCCAUGGUUACGGCGCAAUAAGCAAAUGACACAAGCGAAGAAAAAGUGAAGACUUUCUCCCGCAACUAUUAUGAUGAUACCAUGCCAACUUUGUAACUGACGAGUAUGAUACCAUUGUUCGUUUUGUACAUGCACAUGCUAUGUGUGGGUCAAUUUAUGAUACCAUGCCAACUUUCAACUUUUUCAGAGUUCAUUUGAAAUGCUUUAAUGUCUUAUGGUUCGGCCCUCGUAANNNNNNNNNNNNNNNNNNNNNNNNNNNNNNNNNNNNNNNNNNNNNNNNNNNNNNNNNNNNNNNNNNNNNNNNNNNNNNNNNNNNNNNNNNNNNNNNNNNNNNNNNNNNNNNNNNNNNNNNNNNNNNNNNNNNNNNNNNNNNNNNNNNNNNNNNNNNNNNNNNNNNNNNNNNNNNNNNNNNNNNNNNNNNNNNNNNNNNNNNNNNNNNNNNNNNNNNNNNNNNNNNNNNNNNNNNNNNNNNNNNNNNNNNNNNNNNNNNNNNNNNNNNNNNNNNNNNNNNNNNNNNNNNNNNNNNNNNNNNNNNNNNNNNNNNNNNNNNNNNNNNNNNNNNNNNNNNNNNNNNNNGAAAGAAAACAAAAAAAGUGUUUUCAAAUUUAAAAAGUAAUGGCACUAACAGAAAGUUUAUAAUUUUCCUAAAACUAAAAGCAAAAAGAAUUAAAAAAUAAAGCAAAAAACAAAAGGAAAUAAAUAAUGCAGAAAAUAAAAAAAAACUGGAAAAAAUAAAAAUAGCAACAAUAAGUAAAGAAAACAAAAAAACAAAAAAAGGCCACCUACUUGGCCCACACGGCCUGAAUACGACUUGAAUCCCUACUUUGGGCCAGGAUUCAGGCUCGCAGAAGGCCCAGAAGGCCCAUCAGGCAAAGCAGUAGCUAGUAGGCCCGUAAGCCUGCAAUGGAGAGGAGCUCGAGAGGGGUGCGGCAGUGGGGCUUAUAAACCACUGCGUGCCCCUCUCAACUAGCAAGGUGGGACUAAACUUUGGCCCCGAUGCGGGCAGCACAGGGGCCUUUGGUCCUGGUUGGUGGCACCAACCGGGACUAAAGGGGGGGGGCAUUGGUCCCGGUUGGUGCCACCAACCGGGACNNNNNNNNNNNNNNNNNNNNNNNNNNNNNNNNNNNNNNNNNNNNNNNNNNNNNNNNNNNNNNNNNNNNNNNNNNNNNNNNNNNNNNNNNNNNNNNNNNNNNNNNNNNNNNNNNNNNNNNNNNNNNNNNNNNNNNNNNNNNNNNNNNNNNNNNNNNNNNNNNNNNNNNNNNNNNNNNNNNNNNNNNNNNNNNNNNNNNNNNNNNNNNNNNNNNNNNNNNNNNNNNNNNNNNNNNNNNNNNNNNNNNNNNNNNNNNNNNNNNNNNNNNNNNNNNNNNNNNNNNNNNNNNNNNNNNNNNNNNNNNNNNNNNNNNNNNNNNNNNNNNNNNNNNNNNNNNNNNNNNNNNNNNNNNNNNNNNNNNNNNNNNNNNNNNNNNNNNNNNNNNNNNNNNNNNNNNNNNNNNNNNNNNNNNNNNNNNNNNNNNNNNNNNNNNNNNNNNNNNNNNNNNNNNNNNNNNNNNNNNNNNNNNNNNNNNNNNNNNNNNNNNNNNNNNNNNNNNNNNNNNNNNNNNNNNNNNNNNNNNNNNNNNNNNNNNNNNNNNNNNNNNNNNNNNNNNNNNNNNNNNNNNNNNNNNNNNNNNNNNNNNNNNNNNNNNNNNNNNNNNNNNNNNNNNNNNNNNNNNNNNNNNNNNNNNNNNNNNNNNNNNNNNNNNNNNNNNNNNNNNNNNNNNNNNNNNNNNNNNNNNNNNNNNNNNNNNNNNNNNNNNNNNNNNNNNNNNNNNNNNNNNNNNNNNNNNNNNNNNNNNNNNNNNNNNNNNNNNNNNNNNNNNNNNNNNNNNNNNNNNNNNNNNNNNNNNNNNNNNNNNNNNNNNNNNNNNNNNNNNNNNNNNNNNNNNNNNNNNNNNNNNNNNNNNNNNNNNNNNNNNNNNNNNNNNNNNNNNNNNNNNNNNNNNNNNNNNNNNNNNNNNNNNNNNNNNNNNNNNNNNNNNNNNNNNNNNNNNNNNNNNNNNNNNNNNNNNNNNNNNNNNNNNNNNNNNNNNNNNNNNNNNNNNNNNNNNNNNNNNNNNNNNNNNNNNNNNNNNNNNNNNNNNNNNNNNNNNNNNNNNNNNNNNNNNNNNNNNNNNNNNNNNNNNNNNNNNNNNNNNNNNNNNNNNNNNNNNNNNNNNNNNNNNNNNNNNNNNNNNNNNNNNNNNNNNNNNNNNNNNNNNNNNNNNNNNNNNNNNNNNNNNNNNNNNNNNNNNNNNNNNNNNNNNNNNNNNNNNNNNNNNNNNNNNNNNNNNNNNNNNNNNNNNNNNNNNNNNNNNNNNNNNNNNNNNNNNNNNNNNNNNNNNNNNNNNNNNNNNNNNNNNNNNNNNNNNNNNNNNNNNNNNNNNNNNNNNNNNNNNNNNNNNNNNNNNNNNNNNNNNNNNNNNNNNNNNNNNNNNNNNNNNNNNNNNNNNNNNNNNNNNNNNNNNNNNNNNNNNNNNNNNNNNNNNNNNNNNNNNNNNNNNNNNNNNNNNNNNNNNNNNNNNNNNNNNNUUUUUUUCUGUUCAUAGAUUUUUUUGGUGAUAUUAAUUAUUGUAGAAUAUGCAAAUGUUUGUAUAUUCAUAUGAACAAUGCAUUAGGCAAAACCUUUGUUUUUUUUCGAAAUUUUCUAUUUGAACAUUUUUUAAAACAAGCAAUACUAAAAGAAUGAGAGGAAAAAGGAAAAUAAGAAGAGGAAGAAAGGAGAAAAAGAGGAGAGGAAGAAGAGGAGAAAUAAAUAAGAAGAGGAAAAAAGAAGAAAAAGAAGAGGAGAAGAAGAAAGGAAUAGAGGAGAAAGAAGAAAUUCUAGAGGAGAAAGAAGAAAUUCUAUUUUUUCUUCUUUCUCCUCUAUUCCUUUUUCUUCUCCUCUUUUUUUUCUUCUUUUUUUUCUUCUUCUUCCUUCUUCCUUCUUUCUCUUUUCUUCCUUUUCCUUAAUUAUUUUCCUUUCUCGAGGGAGAAGAAGAAAAAGAAGAGGAGAAGAAGAAAGAAAAGAAUAGAGGAGAAACAAGAAACUUCAACACGAGCUAGGGGGUGGUACCGAUACCCCCUCCCCGAUAACUCUCGAGGACACCCAAACCCUAGAGAGAAAACGAUGUUGGUCUCCUACCCCCUCCCGCCGCGCCCCUUACCCGACAAAUUAACUCUCUCGAGGCCACCCAAAUUUAUCAAGUUAAAAGAGCGUUGUCGUCGAGGCGACCCCAAACCCUUGAAGCGUUGUGUCGAGGCGACCCCAAACCCUAGAGAAGCAGCGUCGAGGCCACUAACAUGAUUCCUUAUUGUGAUUAGCUAGCUAGUUCUACGUUUGCCACUAAUAUAUAUAUAUAUAUAUAUAUAUAUAUAUAUAUAUAUAUAUCCAUCUGUACCAUGUUUGAAUAAUAAUUGACAUGUUGUAAAUAUUUGCAGAAACUAUGGAGCACUCCCGAGACGAAGAAACAGAAGCGAUGUUGGGGGACAUAAUCACAAAUGGAAGUGAUGAUGUUGCGUCAUUUCUCAUCGACACCGAUGGUCAGCUGGAAGGACUGGAUGAAGAAGAGGGCUAUGUUUAUGAUGGCUUCGACUCAUUAAUGCAAGUACAAGAGGAGGAGUAUGUUCAUGAUGCCUCCGGUGACACAAUGGAGGUACAAGAAGGAGACCGUGAUGACUGCUCCGGUCACCGAACCGAGUCUGGCCUGGUAUAUAUAUAUAUUAGUUAAGCCCGUGCUGACUAGUUAAUUGAUGCAUCCAUUGUUUUUGGUGUAUGUACACAUAUUAAUUACUGUCGUCUUUCUUCCUUAUAAUUUCUAGCCCUCCGGAUCGAGCACAACUUCGGUAAGGAGACGAGGCCCGAAGAAAAAGUUGAGCUUGGAUGAAAAGUUUGAGAUCAUAGAAAUCGCGCCCGACGGCGAACCGAUUGAACCCAUCCGGACAAGGAAGGCAUUUUCUGCUCAGUGCGGGGUUCUUGUUAGGGACAAGAUCCCGAUCAGCAUCCAGCAAUGGUAUAAUCCUACUAAGGAUGAAGACCAUGAGGUGUCUUAUGUCAAUGAUAUGCAGAAAGAAGAUCUUUGGACUGAGCUGAAGGAAAAUUUCAUCCUACCGCCAGAGGAGGAUCCGGAGAAGCCAGUUAAAGAGCAAUUAAUCAGGUCUUGUGCUCUUAAGAAGAUGGGAAGCCUAAUGAGGAGGUGGAGGAAAGAGCUGAACCAGUUUGUCGAGAAAAAAAAGACACCAGACUUCAUCGGAAAAUAUGAGAAGAUCAAAGAUCACUGGCCCGCAUUUGUGGCCCACAAGACAUCGGAAAAGAGUAAGAAGAUGUCGGAGACAAACAAGAAAAAUGCUGCGAAGAAGAAGCUUCACCAUCGCACGAGGUCAGGUGGCUACCUCAAAGCCCGGCCUAAGUGGUCCAAGGCUGAGCAUGCUCUGCUUGAAAAAGGGAUCGAACCAGAGACAAUGCGCUAGACAGACCAUUGCCGGACUUGGUUCUUCGGGGCUGGCAGAACCUUGGACCCUGUAACACGGAAGUGUCAGUGGACGGACGAGCAACUGCAAACACCAGUCAAGAACCUUCGACACUAUAUCGAUGCAGCGCAGCGAGGGACGUUCCUUCCAAACAGGGAGAAGGACGAGCUCACAAUGGCCCUUGGGAAUCCCGAGCACCCUGGACGGACACGAGGCACGCCAGGCUCCACUCCAUCGAAGGUUGGUUUUUUGGAUGCAGGGGGUUACAAAACCCACGAGAGGAGGAAGAAACUGGAGCAGGACCAAAUGCAGGCGCUGCUUGGAAGGGUAAUGGGGCUAGAGGAUCGAGAAGAGGAACGAGAAGCAGCAGAUCGCAACAAACGACCUGCCGAAGCUUCCCCCGAGGCUACCCCGCCAUCUCAGCGGAGAAGCAGCGUGGCUUCCACCGAGCUGCUUCAGCCGGAGCAUGUCUUGACGGCUCCUACCAGCUAUCCCGUGGAUGGUAUCACGGAGUCUCAAAAUUGCCACACUAUGGCACGAUGGAUGAAUUUGAAGGUCAAGGCGGCUGUUGGCCAAGUUUAUCCUAGUGGACCCGGCACAACUUAUCACUGCCAGCCGAUUCCAGAAGGAUUUGCUAAGGUGAUGGUGGAUGAAAUAAUGGAGGGAUUUGAGGACCUCGCGCUUGAGCACCCUACCGGUGAAGGGGAGACUAGGCUGGGUUCUGCUCUAAAGACUCCAUGCCUAUGGCGGAAGGAGCUCAUCAACCUUCUGAACUGGACGCCUCCGCCUCCUCCUCCUCCUUCGGCGAGUCAGGGCACUCCGCCUCCUCCUCCGGUGAGUGACGAUCAGGGCACGCGUGGCGGCACUCCGCCUCCUCCAUCGCCUCCUCCUCCGGCGAGUGACGAUCAGGGCACGCGUGGCGGUACUCCGCCUCCUUCUCCGGCGCGUGGCGGCACUCCGCCUCCUCCUUCUCUGCCUCGCCAGCAAGGGCGGAAGAGACCCGCUGCCGCCCCGGCUGCUCUGGCGCGUCGUAGUCCUUCUCCUCCGCCUCGUAAGCAAGCACGAAAUAAGACAGACGCCGCAGCCGCUCCGUCUGCUCCGGCGUCUAGCAGCACAAGAAGAGAGAGGCAAUACAGAUGCGGUCCACCUGUAAAGCCUCUAGAGAAGUUACCGUACAAGAGGACCAAGGAGGAAAACAAUACGAUCAUGCAGGCCCACGUGAAGGAGUUCUUUGAAGGGGUGAAAGCAAAGAGACAUCCACCUCCGGAGGAGAAGGUAGAUCCGGUGAAAGCAAAGCGCACUCUCGAUGCCCUGAGGAAACCACCAAAGUCUCCGUCGAGAAUCAACUAUGAGCGCAUUACUGAACAGACAUAUCUCCAAGCCAAGCGGUCGGGAACUACUGUCAGUGAUAAAAGGUUAAAAGAACAACGAGCAAAGGGGAAAAAAAUUGGCCAGCUCGGCGAACAAGCACAGCAAUCGUGCCCCCCGCUCAAUGUGUCUAAUCCUCCGGGGACGGUGGCCGGUUAUGGCAAUCUUGAAGAUUACCUGCCUGACGAUGCACUUCCUGAUUUCAUGGAGGUGGACGAAUUCAGAUACGAGUAUGGGAAGCCUGUCGUCAAAGAUGAAAAAUCUCUGACAACAAUGAUGCGAAGAUUCCAUAGUUGGUACAUGAAAACUGAAGGAAAUAUGCCCUAGAGGCAAUAAUAAAGUUAUUAUUUAUUUCCUUAUUUCAUGAUAAAUGUUUAUUAUUCAUGCUAGAAUUGUAUUAACCGGAAACAUAAUACAUGUGUGAAUACAUAGACAAACAUAGUGUCACUAGUAUGCCUCUACUUGACUAGCUCGUUUAUCAGAGAUGGUUAUGUUUCCUAGCCAUGGACAAAAGAGUUGUCAUUUGAUUAACGGGAUCACAUCAUUAGGAGAAUGAUGUGAUUGACUUGACCCAUUCAGUUAGCUUAGCACUUGAUCGUUUAGUAUGUUGCUAUUGCUUUCUUCAUGACUUAUACAUGUUCCUGUAACUAUGAGAUUAUGCAACUCCCAUUUACCGGAGGAACACUUUGGGUACUACCAAACGUCACAACGUAACUGGGUGAUUAUAAAGGAGUACUACAGGUGCCUCCGAAGGUACAUGUUGAGUUGGCGUAUUUUGAGAUUAGGUUUUGUCACUCCGAUUGUCGGAGAGGUAUCUCUCGGCCCUCUCGGUAAUACUCAUCACUUAAGCCUUGCAAGCAUUAUAACUAAUGAGUUCGUUAUGAGAUGACGUAUUACAAAACGAGUAAAGAGACUUGCCGGUAACGAGAUUGAACUAGGUAUUGGCUACCGACGAUCAAAUCUCGGGCAAGUAACAUACCGAUGACAAAGGGAACAACGUAUGUUGUUAUGCGGUUUGACCGAUAAAGAUCUUCGUAGAAUAUGUAGGAACCAAUAUGGGCAUCUAGGUCCCGCUAUUGGUUAUUGACCGAGAACGGUUUUAGGUCAUGUCUACAUAGUUCUCGAACCCGUAGGGUCCGCACGCUUAACGUUUCGUUGACGAUAUAGUAUUAUAUGAGUUAUGCAUGUUGGUAACCGAAUGUUGUUCGGAGUCCCGGAUGAGAUCAUGGACAUGACGAGGAACUCCGGAAUGGUCUGGAAAUAAAGUUUGAUAUAUGGAAUAAUAGUGUUUGAUCUCCGGAAGGGUUCCAGAAUUCACCGGAAGGGGUUCCGGAUGUUUCCCGAAAUGUUUGGGUACGAGAACACGUUAUUUGGGCCAAAGGGGAAAGCCCACAAGGUUUUUGGAAAGCGCAAAAAGGAAGUUUUGCGGAGUCCAAGGGCCAGACGCCAGGGUCCCUGGCAUCUGGGUCCAGACGCCAGGAACCCUGGCGUCUGGCCCUGGAGUCCGAGAAGGACUCUUGCCUUUCGGGUGAAACCGACUUUGUGGAGGCUUUUACUCCAAGUUUCGACCCCAAGGCUCAACAUAUAAAUAGAGGGGUAGGGCUAGCACCAAAGACACAUCAAGAAACACCAAGCUGUGUGCCGGCAACCCCGUCCCCUCUAGUUUAUCCUCCGUCAUAGUUUUCGUAGUGCUUAGGCGAAGCGCUGUGGAAAUUGUUCUUCACCAACACCGUAACCACGCCGUCGUGCUGCCGGAACUCAUCUACUACUUCGCCCGUCUUGCUGGAUUGAGAAGGCGAGGACGUCACCGAGCUGAACGUGUGCAGAACUCGGAGGUGCCGUGCGUUCGGUACUUGGAUCGGUCGGAUCGUGAAGACGUACGACUACAUCAACUGCGUUGAUAAACGCUUCCGCUUAGAGAUCUUCAAGGGUAUGAAGAUACACUCCCCUUCUCGUUUCUAUACAAUCACCAUGAUCUUGCAUGUGCGUAGGAAAUUUUUUGAAAUUACUACGUUCCCUAACAGUGGCAUCUGAGCCUAGGUUUUAUGCGUUGAUGUUAUAUGCACGAGUAGAACACAAGUGAGUUGUGGGCGAUACAAGUCAUACUGCUUACCAGCAUGUCAUACUUUGGUUCGGCGGUAUUGUGAGAUGAAGCGGCCCGGACCGACAUUACACGUACGCUUACGCGAGACUGGUUUCACCGUUACGAGCACUCGUGCUUAAAGGUGGCUGGCGGGUGUCUGUCUCUCUCACUUUAGCUGAAUCGAGUGUGGCUACGCCCGGUCCUUGUGAAGGUUAAAACAGCACUAACUUGACGAACUAUCGUUGUGGUUUUUGAUGCGUAGGUAAGAACGGUUCUUGCUAAGCCCGUAGCAGCCACGUAAAAUUUGCAACAACAAAGUAGAGGACGUCUAACUUGUUUUUGCAGGGCAUGUUGUGAUGUGAUAUGGUCAAGACGUGAUGCUAUAUUUUAUUGUAUGAGAUGAUCAUGUUUUGUAACCGAGUUAUCGGCAACUGGCAAGAGCCAUAUGGUUGUCGCUUUAUUGUAUGCAAUGCAAUCGCCCUGUAAUGCUUUACUUUAUCACUAAGCGGUAGCGAUAGUCGUAGAAGCAUAAGAUUGGCGAGACGACAACGAUGCUACGAUGGAGAUCAAGGUGUCACGCCGGUGACGAUGGUGAUCAUGACGGUGCUUCGAAGAUGGAGAUCACAAGCACAAGAUGAUGAUGGCCAUAUCAUAUCACUUAUAUUGAUUGCAUGUGAUGUUUAUCCUUUAUGCAUCUUAUAUUGCUUUGAUUGACAGUAGCAUUUUAAGAUGAUCUCUCACUAAUUAUCAAGAAGUGUUCUCCCUGAGUAUGCACCGUUGCGAAAGUUCUUCGUGCUGAGACACCACGUGAUGAUCGGGUGUGAUAGGCUCUACGUUCAAAUACAACGGGUGGAAAACAGUUGCACACGCGGAAUACUCAGGUCAUACUUGACGAGCCUAGCAUAUACAGAUAUGGCCUCGGAACACGGAGACCGAAAGGUCGAGCGUGAAUCAUAUAGUAGAUAUGAUCAACAUAGUGAUGUUCACCGUUGAAACUACUCCAUCUCACGUGAUGAUCGGACAUGGUUUAGUUGAUUUGCAUCACGUGAUCACUUAGAUGACUAGAGAGAUGUCUGUCUAAGUGGGAGUUCUUAAGUAAUAUGAUUAAUUGAACUUAAAUUUAUCAUGAACUUAGUCCUGGUAGUAUUUUGCAAAUUAUGUUGUAAGAUCAAUAGCUUGCGUUGUUGCUUUCAUAUGUUUAUUUUGAUAUGUUCCUAGUGAAAAUUGUGUUUAAAGAUGUUAGUAGCAAUGAUGCGGAUUGGAUCCGUGAUCUGAGGUUUAUCCUCUUUGCUGCACAGAAGAAUUAUGUUCUUAAUGCACCGCUAGGUGACAGACCUAUUGCAGGAGCAGAUGCAGACGUUAUGAACGUUUGGCUAGCUCAAUAUGAUGACUACUUGAUAGUUUAGUGCACCAUGCUUAACGGUUUAGAAUCGGGACUUCAAAGAUGUUUUGAACGUCAUGGACCAUAUGAGAUGUUCCAGGAAUUGAAGUUAAUAUUUCAAGCAAAUAACCGAGUUGAGAGAUAUGAAGUCUCCAACAAGUUCUAUAGCUAAAAGAUGGAGGAGAAUCGCUCAACUAGUGAGCAUGUGCUCAGAUUGUCUGGGUACUUCAAUCGCUUGAAUCAAGUGGGAGUUAAUCUUCCAGAUAAGAUAGUGAUUGACAGAAUUCUCUAGUCACCAUCACUAAGUUACUAGAACUUCGUGAUGAACUAUAGUAUGCAAGGGAUGACGAAAACGAUUCCCAAGCUCUUCGUGAUGUUGAAAUCGACGAAGGUAGAAAUCAAGAAAGAACAUCAACUGUUGAUGGUUAACAAGACCACUAGUUUCAAGAAAAGGGCAAAGGGAUAGAAGGGAACUUCAAGAAGAACGGCAAGCAAGUUGCAGCUCAAGUGAAGAAGCCCAAGUCUGGACCUAAGCCUGAGACUAAGUGCUUCUACUGCAAAGGGACUGGUCACUGGAAGCAGAACUACCCCAAGUAUUUGGCGGAUAAGAAGGAUGGCAAAAUGAACAAAGGUAUAUUUGAUAUACAUGUUAUUGAUGUGUACUUUACUAGUGUUUAUAGCAACCCCUCGGUAUUUGGUACUGGUUCAGUUGCUAAGAGUAGUAACUCGAAACGGGAGUUGCAGAAUAAACAGAAACUAGUUAAGGGUGAAGUGAAGAUGUGUGUUGAAAGUAGUUUCAAGAUUGAUAUGAUCAUCAUCGCACACUCCCUAUACUUUCGGGAUUAGUGUUGAACCUAAAUAAAUGUUAUUUGGUGUUUGCGUUGAGCAUGAAUAUGAUUUGAUCGUGUUUAUUGCAAUACAGUUAUUCAUUUAAGUAAGAGAAUAAACUGUUGUUCUGUUUACAUGAAUAAAACCUUAUAUGGUUACACACCCAAUGAAAAUGGUUCAGUGGAUCUCGAUUGUAGUGAUACACAUAUUCAUAAUAUUGAAACCAAAAGAUGCAAAGUUAAUAAUGAUAGUGCAACUUAUUUGUGGCACUGCCGUUUAGGUCAUAUUGGUGUAAAGCGCAUGAAGAAACUCCAUGCUGAUGGGAUUUUGGAAUCACUUGAUUAUGAAUCACUUGAUGCUUGCGAACCAUGCCUCAUGGGCAAGAUGACUAAAACUCUGUUCUCCAGAACAAUGGAGCGAGCAACAGAUUUCUUGGAAAUCAUACAUACUGAUGUAUGUGGUCCGAUGAAUAUUAAGGCUCGCAACAAGUAUCAUUAUUUUCUGACCUUCACGGUUGAUUUAAAGCAGAUAUGAGUAUAUCUACUUGAUGAAACACAAGUCUGAAACAUUUGAAAAGUUCAAAGAAUUUUAGAGUGAAGUAGAGAAUCAUCGUAACAAGAAAAUAAAAGUUUCUACGAUAUGAUCGCAGAAGUAAAAUAUUUGAGUUACGAGUUUGGCCUUCAGUUAAAACAAUGUGAAAUAGUUUCACUACUCACGCCACCUGGAACACCACAGUGUAAUGGUGUGUACGAACGUCAUAACCGUACUUUAUUAGAUAUGGUGCGAUCUAUGAUGUCUCUUACCGAUCUACCACCACUACUAGGAAAAAGCCUUCUAAUGGCGCACCGGUUUUGCCUACUAAUGGCGCACUACCGGUGCGCCAUUAGCAUCACGCCACUAGAAUUUUUUUCUAAUGGCGCACCUGUGGUGCGCCAUUAGAAUCUGGUAUUCUAAUGGCGCACCGCUGGUGCGCCAUAAGUAUGGCCCACGGUGCGCCAUUAGUAUCUGGUAUACUAAUGGCGCACCACAUAGGAGUGCGCCAUUAGUAACAAUUUUUUUUCAAAUUUUUUUUGCAAGAUUUUUUUUAAUUUUUUUUUCAAAAUUUCCAAUUUUUUUUUGUUUUUUUCUUAAUCUCAGGUCACUAUGGCUUAAUCUCGAGUCAAUAUGCUUAAUCUCAGGUCAAAUCGCACUCCAUGGUCAAACUUCCCAAAAGGUCACCCAUCCCUCUCACUACUCCAGCCUGAGCACGCUUAACUUCCGGGUUCUAUUCUCCCUCGUUUCCAAGUCUGCAUUUGUUGUUUUCCUGACAAUAGUAAGAUGUCAAUCCUAUUAACCUCAGGAAUUUAGCUUGAGCAUGUACUGACACAUUUCACUGUUUGAGUUUGAAACUAUUGUUCUAAAAAAUUAGUAACACUAAUAUUUUUCUUGAAUAAUUAGUUCGCACACAGUUUGACCAGAUUUGACCACAGUUUGACCAGAUUUGACCACAGUUUGACCAUAGUUUGACCAAUUUGACCAAAAUUCAAAAAAAUAAAAUAAUUAUUUAUUAACACUAAUAUUCUUGAAUAAUUAGUUUGACCAUAGUUUGACCAGAUUUAACAAAAACUAAAAAAACUAAUUUUUUUUUGAAUUUUUUUGCCUCCAGAUCUUAAAAGCCCCGUAACUUUUUUUCUGUUAGGCUUUUGAGGAUUUUAAAAAUGUUUAACGGGGUUCCCCCGAUUAAAUUCGGAUGUAACUUUUCGAGUAGAUGAUUUUUCAUAUAUAAAACUUUUUAAUCCGAGUUCGUAUGCAAAAGUUAUGCCCAUUUUACAAAUUUUCAGAGAGAUUUUACAAAUAAAGUCGAAAUUUAUAUUU
rnacentral:lncRNA from 1 species